rnacentral:lncRNA from 1 species
UUCCCAUGGCGUGGGUCACAUUUGGCCAUCAUUGAAGAGGGUUCAAAAGCACUGUUGGUUAUCUCAGCCACCGAUAGCUGCUCAUGGUAAGCCUUCUCAGCUGAAAUGACAGGGGCAUAAGAAGAAAGCAUAAAGUGGAUCCUGGGAUAUGGGACCAGGUUAGUCUGGAACUCAGUCACAUCCACAUUCAGGGCUCCAUCAAACCUCAAAGAUGCGGUAAGAGAUGAGAUAACCUGAAUCAUACAUGCCAAAACACCACAUGUAUGAACAACAAUCAUUAAAUUUCAUAACAUAAAGACGAGUAUUUUAGUAAAAAUGCUUAUAGUUACCUGAGAGACAAGGCGGUUAAGAUUCGUAUAAGUGGGUCGUUCAAUGUCCAAAGAACGCCUGCAGAUGUCAUAUAUUGCUUCGUUAUCGAGAAGAACAGCGACAUCAGUGUGCUCAAGGAGUGAAUGAGUGGACAGCACACUGUUGUAAGGCUCUACAACUGAUGUAGAAACCUGAGGUGAAGGAUAGACGGUGAAACCAAGCUUCGACUUCUUUCCAUAGUCAACAGAGAGACGCUCCAAGAGAAGAGAUCCAAGACCAGAACCAGUACCACCACCAACAGCAUUGAAAACCAAGAAGCCUUGGAGCCCAGUACAGUUAUCAGCAAGCUUUCGGAUACGAUCCAAGCAGAGAUCAACAAUCUCUUUGCCAAUUGUAUAAUGGCCACGAGCGAAAUUGUUGGCAGCAUCUUCUUUGCCACUGAUGAGUUGCUCAGGGUGGAAUAACUGGCGGUACGUACCAGUCCUCACUUCAUCGAUAACAGUAGGCUCCAGAUCAACAAAGAUGGCGCGAGGGACGUGCUUCCCGGCACCAGUUUCGCUGAAAAAGGUGUUGAAAGCAUCGUCUCCUCCACCAACAGUCUUAUCACUUGGCAUUUGGCCAUCAGGCUGAAAAUCGAAAAUUCUAAAAGAUCACCACCAUUAUCCACAUUCAAAACCUUAGAUCUCGCCUAAAUUAUCUAUAGAACUGAAAUCGUUCAGCUAACAUUUCAAUUAAUCCAGAUCUAUCCAUUUUUAACGAGUCCGAUCACAAUUUACAACAACAGAAACACAAUUAAUAAAUUUAAACAUAGUCAAACCAAAUCACAAUGUUAAAAUAAUUAAAAAGGGAAAAAAAAUGAAUCUAACAGCAAAAUAAAUGAAAUAUACAAAUCGGAAAAAAAAUACCUGAAUGCCAUGCUCGAGACAGUAAAGUUCCCAGCAAGCAUUUCCGACCUGAAUACCGGCCUGACCGAUGUGAACUGAAAUGCACUCUCUCAUAUUUCUUUUCCUAGGAAAUUAUACGAAAAUUGAAGGGAAAAUUUGUUUGAAAAAUAAAAUAAAUGGGGGCGUGUAUCAAGACGCCUUCCGGAAUAUGAGAUCUGAGGUAUUGUUUAAACUAGCAGGGGUUUAUAUAGGGAGGAAAAAAGGUUCGAAAAACAAAAAAACAUUUGAGGUUGGAAAAACCAGGGUUAGUUAACCGCGGUUAAUGAUGACAGCGAGGAGAGGUUCGGCUUGUCGUUAUUUUUAAGCCAGUACCUGCCUGGCUGGCUGGCUUUCCUCUAACUACCUACUAAUUAAUUUUACUUUUAAAGGGUUGAUUUUUCUUUUAGUUAUUUUGAAAAAAGAAAAUUUAUAAAAUUUAGCUAUUAAAUUACUGGUUUAUAUCUGCAUGGGUGAGACAAAAAUAUAAAUAUAUAUUUUUUAUCUUUAAAAUAAAUUAUAGAUUUUAAAUAAAAUUAUGUAUUUUAUUGUAUUUUUUAAAAUUUGUUUUUUAUGAUCAUUAAAUGUAAAGUAAAAAUGCCUAAAAAUGAUUAACUGAUUGAUCUAUUAAAAGAGAUUCUUUUAUAAGAGAAAAAAGGUUUAGUUUUUGUUUUUCAGAAUAAGAUUUAAAAAAUACCUCUUUUUUUUUUUGUAAAAUGAAAAUAUUGAAUAUUUUUCUGAUAUUUUUUAAGAAUGAAUUUUUUUUAUUACAUUUUAUAUUUAUAUUAAAAAUUGAACAUAUUUUAGUAAUUUACAUAAUCUAGUUUGUCACGUGAGGUUGAUAGUUUUUUUAAGGAAGUAUCUUUUUGCAUGUUUUUAUGAAGUGAUUUAAGUUAUUUUAUUCAAAAAUAUUAUAUGAAAGAGUUUUUAAAACAAUAAUACUCUUGUAAUGAUAUUUAUAAUAUUAGUUAUUAAAAAAUUGAUUUAAAGUGUUUUUGUCUGAAUUAUUGCUGAUAAUUCAUAAGGAAUUUUUUAUAUAGAAAAGAUUUAAGUAUUGCGGGGAGAACUAAAUUAUGUUUAUUUGAGUAUAAUGAAAAGGGGCUGGUGAGUGGAUGGGCUAUCACAAGAAGAGUGGAUUUUACGUUUCUAUCAGUGGGCCCCGAAUCUGAUAGAAUGGACCAAUGAAUUUCACCUCUUACCUGUUUUCAAAUCAAUUUCUGUACCUAUACGCUGCACUCCUAUCUAAAACUAGUAUGUUUUUCCUUAUUUAUAUGUAUAAUAUUAUAAAAUUAAAAUGUUAAACCUAUUUUACCUCUCUUUACUUUUAAUUUCGAAAAUCUACCUCAUCUAUUUUCAAUUUUAUAUUAAAUUCUUCUUACAUGUGAUAUUUGGAAAUUUAAAAAAAAUUAUUGGAUAGUCAUAUAACAAUAAAAAUAGCAUUUAAAAUGUGUAUAUAGAUUAUUUUCCCUUAAAAACAUUCACUCAAACUUGUUAUUUUAAAAUAAUUUUUUUUUUGGAAUAAUGUUCCUACAAAAUAUUGACCUUGACAUUUAAAUUAAAAUAGUUAACAAUAUUAAGUAUUUAAAUUAAUUAAUGGUAUUACAAAAAUAGAAUGACCAAAUUGCAUUCAAAAUUAAACCUCAAAAUUGAGCAUAGCAUAGGGAUCAAAUUAAAAUUUGACCUUUUAUGUAUAACCUGAAAAUAGAGGGAUCAGAAUUGAAAUUUAACCAUUAUUAACAUAAUGUGAAAAAUAAAAUUGUAAAAAAAAAAAAAGAAAAAGAAAAAAGCCAUGAAUGGCUGGAACAUUUGUCAAAGAAAGACCCUCCUUUUUUUUUUAAUGACAUAUCAUGUUGUCAUGUUAACAAUACUAAAGCUUUGAAACUCUUAAUCCAAUUCGAAUAUCUGUCUAAAUCAACUGUCAAUAGUUUGAAGGUUUCGACAAAAGAGAUGAUAAUCUAAUAAAGGCUAUUUUAUCUGUCUAAAUCAAGACAUGGAGAAAGUGCUGUUCAGCAUUAACUCAUUAAUUCCAGGAUCCCCGACUUGAAAUAUCUGUUCUUUUUGAGGCUAAACGCAGCUUACUGAAAUUUCAAAUUCAAUCCUCCACAAACAGAACCAACCUACCAAUUUGACUUUUCAUAAAUGUCAUAAACAGAAGCCCUACUCUGAGUCUGACUAUUUCUAUUUGGUCCCUUGGACAAAAAUGCAGGCCGAGCAAACUCCAUAAACAAACAUGGAAAAAACGACAGACAAUCAUCAUUUCUUCAAAGUUCUGCCGGAUUUUUCUCUAAAGAAAAUGUAUGUCCUGUCCUACAUACGAAAAUGUUAUCCUAAAUACACGCACUACUGGAAGAAACCCAUGCAUUUGAAUAAGUAACAAAACCGAGCUUCAAGACAACAGGAAAGAUCGUAAACAAGUCAAGACUGAAUUGAUGCAUGAAAGAAAAUGGUGGAAGGCAUUAGAAAAAGGUACUACAGAGUCACAUCAUUGUACUUGGUUAGACUUGAUGACAGGACAUGAAUCGUGCUUGUAGCGAAAAACCAUGUAGGUCAUAUUUAAAUGAGGUUUUUAAUUCUACAAAGAAUGAUCUCAAACAAACUUCGUUACGAAAAUAGAUGUAGAAUUGGAUUCUGAGGAAGUAAUCAUCUGUAAUAGCAUCCAAAGAAAAUAUUAUGGCAUCAUAUUGUGUACAUGUGUAAUUGGCAAAGAGACACUCAUGCCACAAGAAUGAGAACUUAAGACUAUCAAGCAGAUGAAGGCUGCAAAAGAAACAAUAUAAGCAGAAAUUGAAUCAUUGAAACCUGGAUAAAAGCAAUCUAAAUAAUAUGAGAAAGCUAUAAAAUAUUUGCAUGAACACGGGUACGAACUAGCCUUUGAGUAAAGGAGUACAAUAUUGGAGCAAGCUACUUCUCAAAGUGAAAGAAUAGCAAGUUUGGAAGACCGACUACCUCACAAGCGGUUAGAUGCAGAGAUAUCGAAAGGUACAUGUAUUAAGUAACAUUCAGCAGUAUAUCAAAACUUGAGGAACUACAAAGUAAUUAGCCAAUAGGAGAUAUUAAAGACAGAAAGGACCAGGCCUAUUGGCUAGGUGAAUUUUUAAUGGGACUACUGUAGCUUUACUUUGAUUAGGUAGACAGGAAACAAUAUGCGUAUAUCUAUAUUUUGAUCAACAGAAAGCAAUUGCAAUCAUGAUUUUAACAUAAAGUAGGAUGGGGACACAAAAAGCAUAUCAUAUAACAGAAUCCAUGGAUCUAAGUAAAGAACUAUUCUCUAUCAGCAGGCAUGGUUCGCCAAGCCUUUUGUCAUCAGAUUUUCUAGUAAAGCCUGCACUAAAAAUUGAUUUACUGAACCAUUGUUCCACAUGGUUAAUACAAGAACAAAUAAGAUCAGAAAGAGAUAUCUAAGUCCAAGCUAUAGUACAGACUACGAAUGAAGAACGCAUUCAGUAAUUGCAAUGCGUACACUUGUUCAGAAGAUUUUCAGGGAACCUAGGUAAGUUCUUUUAUACCAAAUGUCAACUGUCUGUGCACAAGGAAAGAGUAAGUGGCACAUUAGACAGUAAAAGGCGGAGUUCACACUGAUGACAUAUAGCAAACAGAGCUGAACUGCCUGAACAUGUAAUGUUUAAUACAAUAUACCAAGGAAAGGAUAGCCAAAUUUUAAAUUACACAUAUAUCGGGAAUAUUGAUUAAAUUAACUCAUGUCAGCUGCAGAAAUCAACCAAUCCAUACUUUAUCUCAUCAUUAUUCACUUAAGAUGUUAACAUGCAGUGGGAGGAAGUUUACUUAAAUAUCACCAUUGCUGUCACUUAUAAAGUAAUUCUUGAAAAGUAAAACCACAAGACACUCAAAUUUCAAAACCCCAACAAUGCAUCAAUGUAAAAUCAACACAGAAAAGUCAAUCACAGUAGCGUUCUCAAACCUCAUAAUUGACAAAUCAAUUGUUUCCCUGUUUCACUAAUAAAAAACUCCAAGCUUGUUACAUGCAUGGACCACAAACAAAUGAAAUGAUUCUUUUCCAGUACUCUUCUGCAAUUGGCUUUCAAGGGACCAUUAUAAUACUAAAUAUGGAAACAAUUUUCUAAAUGCCAUUAAAGGCAAAAUGGAAUCAUUCCAUUAGAAUGAAAUCAAAUGCAGCAAUGAAAUUAGAGAUAGAAAACAAUUUCUAAAUGUCAUUAAAGGCAAAUGGAACCAUUCCAUCCUCAGGUGGCUUCUGUAUUUCAAAUACCAACAUCAGAAUCACCUACAUUUCCUACCACACUUCAUCUACCAAGCAAAUAGUGAAAAAUAAAAUAUGAGAUACAUGAAAAAAAAUGUGGGCAUAACCAGAAAUAGAGUAACUAUAUCUCUAUAUUUAUAGAAGCAAAGUCAAUAUACGGAAAACAGGGGAAAACUUACAUCAUCACCAUCACGGUCAGUAAAUAUAUUAAAAACAAAGUAUCUUUGAGAAAUAAAUGAUAAUAACAAUACGAAGAAAAAUGCUUCACAAACCCCACCGUCUUCUUCCUCGGUGCAUUUCAACAGAUGAUUACGAAUGCCCAUAGUUGAUGAUGAUGAACUGUAAGCUCCUCCUCCACCUUUAAAAUCUCAUAAGAAAAGAAAAACAAGAGAAAAACGCCAGAAAAAAAAAGACUAAACUAAAAAAGGUCGUAAGAUUUUACUUUUAGCAAGAAAAAAAACUAUAUAUGAAAAUAUUUAUAUUUGCCUGGCUCCAUCCUGUCUGCCUUUUUGCAAGCAAUAAGGGAAGGGGAGUUGUUUUACACAGGGAGGAACAGAGCUACAUUGUACUCUCUCUCCUGUGAAUUCACAAAAAUAACCUCCGAUUUACAAUGGUGUGGAGAGGAUACACCUCUUGAAGACCAAGGGUCGCUUGGUCAUUGAACCCCCCUCUAUAGCCAUUACAGUGACAGAUUUUAAGGUUUUGCCGCUGGGUUUAUGGUCAAGCCCCUUAAAAAAAGAAGCAAAGAAAGCUGAUUACUAUUUUCUGAGGUUAUAUUUUUUUCCAGAGAGAAACGUGGAAAGGGGAGGAAGAUAAAAAUGAGGUUUAUGUCUAAAAUGGGAAUUGCAAACAAGUUAUAUAAUAUAUUAUUAAUUUUUGUGGGAUUUAAAGAAAAGGCCGGUGAAAAGCCAUUUUCAACUUUAGCUUUGUUCCGUUUCUGGUAAGACUCGCUCCAUUUUUGUCUCUCCAAUUUCUUUGCCUCUUUUUCUCUCUCUUUUUUUUUUUUUUUGGGUGUUCUAACUUCGCCUCUAGUUCUUAUAUAGCAAUAUUUCUUUAACUUUUAUUUUUUUAUAAAUUUGUUUAAAAACCUCUUUUACUACUAAAACUUAUGAUCUCCUACCCUAACCCUAACGAUAAUAUAAAUGUUAAUUAAAUUAAAUAUAUAUUUUUAAAUACACGAAUUUCUCUCUUGGGGCAUAAAACGCAUGAAAUUCAAUCAUCAAAAACUCAUUAUCUUCCCAUAUCACUUAUUCUACCUGCUUUCUAACAAAAGAGAGAUAAGAGGAUUAGUAAAGAUAGAAUGAUUGAAGUAUUUUAUUUUAUUAUUAAUUAUUUGUUAAUUUUAAAGAGGAAAAAAAAUUUUAAAAAAGGGGCAUGAAUUUUGUAGGAAUUUAAAACACAGGCUGAAUGUGUGACUUAUUAUUAUAUUAUUUUACGUUUGUCUAAAAAUUAGAGGAGAAAAAUAUCAACUGCUAUACGAAUUCUAUAUAGUUAAUACAAUACUGCAAUUAAUUUGAUACAUUCAAAUACUUGUGUUAUUACAUUUGAGAUUAAACAUAAAAAUAUAGUUAAUUUAGAGUUAUACCAAUUUUUUCUCAACUUAUAUUUAUAUUUUAAUAUAUAUGAUUAAUUCAAAAAAUAUAAAAAACCAAUAAUCCAUAAAAGGAAAAAAAACCAAGGUUAUAAAAAAAAUUAUUUUAACUCUUUAUUUAUUUGUUUUUGCUCUUUUUAAUUUUUAAAUUUAUAUUUUUUUGUCAAAUCACUCUAAAAUAGAUAGAAUUGAUGUGGCAUACAUGAAGACUGUCACGUAGAUUACACGUUGGCAUUCAAUUAAUUUUUAUAAAUUUUAAUAAUUUUAAUGCUUUUUAGUUUUUAAAAAUAAUUUUUUUAUAUUUUUUAAAAUUUUUAAAUUUUAAAAAUUAAUUAAAUACUGAUGUGCCAUCCGUGUGUAUGCAGUGUCGAAAUAGUUUAAAAAGACAUUAAUUUUUCUUUUUAUUUUAGGGUGACUUGAUAAAAAACAUAAAUUUAAAAAGUGAAAAAAAAGUGAAAAAUUAAAUUAAUCUUUUUAUAGGAAAAAAAUUAAUCCUGAAUGCAUUGGUUUGCAAGAGACAAAACAGGAGAAACCUGUGGGGCCAACAAAAGAUCCCUACAAAUUUGUCAGGUUGAUUUUGUUAUUUGUAGUUUUGUCGCUAACAGCAUCAUAGGUAUGAAACUAUAAAAAGUUUAUUUUUUAAUCUUUUUAAGGAAACUAUUUGUAUUGUUGUAAUUAUAUUUUAAUUUUUCAUUUUAUGAUUACUAAUAUAAAUUGGAAUCACAUAUAAUAGAAUAUUUUUAAAAAAAAUGAAACUCAUUAAUCCCAAUUAUCGCUGUAAUUCCCUGAUAUUUCAAUUUUUUGAGAAUUACUUAAUUUAGUGAGAUUCAUUAAUUGUAAUUUAAAAUAUAUGAGUUUGAUUCUGUGUAUUAAUAAAAAUAUUAUUUUAUAAGAUAAUGAAAAAUAUUUUAUCACCUCCUUAAAAAAUAUUGUAUUAGGAUUUUUUUGAAUUUUGAAUUUUUAAUAUGAAAAGCAAUAUUUCAUAAAAUAGUAAGGAAAAUAUUAUAAUUUUUUUAACAAAUUAUCAUUUUUUGGAAAGAAAAAAAAAAGACAUUGUAUUAAUUUUUUAUUAAAUAAAAAUUGAAGUGAAUUUACUAAACUUAAUGGAUUGAAAUUCUAAAACUUUUAAAACUCGAUUGCAAAAUAUUGUAAAAAAACUACAAAAAAAAAAGAGGAAAAGGUUACAAAAAAGAAACCUUUUUUCUAUGUUUUUUUUUUCCUUUUGUUCCUUUAACUGUUGGUGGUAGAGGUGUCCGUAAGCCGGGCUAGGUUCGGGUCGAGCUCAACAAAAACAUUGGGCCUGUUUGUUAGGCUCGGCCUGAGAAAUGGGCUUGAAAUUUUGCCUCAAGCCCGACCCACCCAUAUUAAUUUUUUAUAUUAUUAUUUUAUAUAAUUCCUUUUUAAAAAAUAUAAUACAUCAAAAAUAUAAAAAAACAUUUAAAUAAAUAUUUUCCAACAAAUUAAAAAUAAAUUAAAAAAUAUGUAUACUUAAAUAACACUAAGAUAAAUGUAACUUAACAAACGAAUGUGAAAAAUAAUAACAAAAUUAACAAUAAAAUAAGAGUUAUACAAUAUUCAAAUAAUAACAACAAAUAGUAGCAACAUGAUUGUGAAAUGGUAGCAAAAUAAUAAUAAUAAAGAAGAAAAUAGCAAGAAAAUAAUAAAAAUAGCAAUAAAAAGUAAUAAAAAAAUAGGAGGUUUUUUUUUUGUUUUCAUAUUCGGGUCGGGCUCAGGCUAAAAAGCCUUACACAAGGGCCGACCUGUUUUCUAAAUGGGCCUUAUUUUUAGCCUAAACCCAUUUUUCGGGCCUAUAUUUUUACUCAAACACUCCCAUUUUUGGGUGGGCCUUUGUGCCGGGUGGCCCGGCCCAUGGACAAGUCUAGGGGUGAGCGUUCGAUCAAAUCGAGUGAAAAAGUUUCGAGUUCACAAGUCAUAUUUUAUUAUCCUAACUCUAUUUGAAUUUAUUUCAAAUCAAGUUAAAUUAAAAAAAAUAAACAUGUCAAAUAAAAAAAUUGUUAUAGUAUAACUAAUUUUAUGUUAGAGCAUAUAAAUUUGAGACCAUAUAUAUUUGAAAUAUUUUUCAAAGCAAAAUAAUAAUAAAAAUAAGAUACUUCAGUAUAAUACAUUUGAAUCAUUAAUUAGGUCCCAAAACUAUUAUUUUAGAAAAUUUUAAAAUUUUAAAAUUUUAUAAAUAUUUUUAAUUUUAAAAAUUAUAUUAAAUAUUUAAAAAUUAUUUUGUAAUUAUUGUUAAGAGAGAGACCAAUUUAUUUAUUUUCAAAGUUGACAGUGACCAAAAGAGUAUUUACAUCAAUUUGUUAUUCAAAAUAUUCAAGUUAUUUGAAUUGUGAAAUUCAACUCGACUUGAACUCGAAUUGAGUUAUUCGAGUUGACUUGAAUAACUCGAAAUUUAAUUUUUUUUUUUAUUUUUUCAAAUCAAAUUGAGUUUUGCUCAUCCCUAAUUAGGGGCAAGUGAUGACCUCACCAGUCACCCUAGUGACACCAAUGUAGCAAUACUCUUUGACCAACUACACAACAAUUAAAAUUGUCACGUCUCAUAUUGGCUACUCUCAAAUUAUAAGAUAAAACAAUACUUGCAACAGAGAAUGAGGGGUUAGCAAUUGGAAUUUUUAGGGGAAAAAACCCAAUAAUUUGUUCUCAGCUAACCCAUUGUCAGAUCUUUGUAUACUAUCUAUCAUUCUAUUGGAAAAAUUCAGUUAGAAAAAAGUUUUGUUGCACAAUGAUUUUUUUCUAAAACCGAGCAAUUAUGUUAUUUAUGGCAAUAAACCUGUAACACCCCUUAACCCCGAACCGUCGCCGGAAUAGAAUUACGAGGCAUUACCGGACGUAUCGAACGAUUUACAACAAUUCUUAAAUAAAUAACCAAUAUAUUAAAAUAAUUCAUAAAAUUUAUUAGUUUGUUUACCAAAUGACUUCAUUUUUUUUUUAUAAAAAUUUCGGCAGCAUUUCUGCUUAUUUUUACAUAAAACCCCCUGCAAAUUAAAACCAUAUAGUUCCCAAAUAUCACCAAUUCAACCAAUUCAUUUCACAUUCACAUUUUCUAUUCUAAAUACUUCUAAUCAAACUCAAUCUACACAAUAUCAAUUUAAAAUUUAACAAUGUACUAAUUAGAUAAAAUAGAUAGACUUCUUUCAUUAAAAUCCAUAAACUUUUAAUACUAACAUUUUUAACCAUUAUAUAUUAAAACAUAAUAACCUUUAUACACAAUCUAUGUACAUGCCACCUUUACCAAAGGAAAAAUACAUCACCAAGUUUUGCCGAAGCCGGGAUUAAUCUGGAUGCUGAACCGGGACCUUUGACUUCUAUCGACCUGCGCACGGAAACAAUCGUACGCUGAGUAAUUCAUACUCAGUGGUAUUACCAUAAUUCAAAUUAUAACAAUAAUGUACAUGUAAUGCAUAAAUCGUAUAUACAAUUUAAAUUCAAUAUUUCAACAAUAGCAAUUCAUCAACCAAUAUCGUAUAUCCACAAUUUGAGUUUGAAUAAAUCACGAACCUUAGGUUCAUUUCUCAAUCUCAUUUCACAUUUCAAUUCACAAUUCAACUUUUUCAUAUCAUUUCAAUAGCUCGUUUGACCAACUCGUUUGGUUUAUCAUUUCAUCAUUUACCCUAUUAACAAAACUCGGACUUUGGCGGAUACACGGAUCCAACCAAACACACCAGAAUGGCACCCAGUGCCUCAUCGGAUAGUUCGAAGCAAUAGUUGACACCCAGUGUCUCAUCGGCAAAGCCGAAGAAAGUUGGUACCCAGUACCUCAUCGAAUCUAUCCGAAGAAAUAUAGUGACACCCAGUGUCUCAUCGACUCGAGGUCGAAGUAUCCCUGAACUCUUCCAAUCCUAUGGCAUGCCAACUAUAUCCGACUCAGCCCGACUAGUUAAUAGGGUAUUUAAAUCACAUAUAUUCUCAAUUCAAUCACAAUUUCUCACACUUUCAAUUCAAUCAUUUUUCCACCUUCAAUCAAUAAUUAUUUCACAAAUUCACACAUUUUCACAACUCAAUACAUUUCCAUACAAUUUAAUACCAUUCACAAUUCGAUUCAAAUUCAUUUCCCGCUUUCAAUCAACAAACAAUUCAAAUAUUAAUUCAUAUAAACUAUUCAAUUUAAUUCCCACUCAUAAUAAUAAUAAUACUAAUAAUAAAUUAAUACUAAUAUUAUACUUACCUCACAUUUCAUUUACUAGACACAUAAAUUAAAAUUUAGCAUUUAAUAAUAAAUAACUUGAAUUAUAGUAAUACAAACCGUUAUUCUCCCGUUUUAGUCCUCGAUAACUUUCUCCUUUCCUUUUGACGCCGAUGCCUCGGGUUCUUUGUUAGCUACGAAAAUAAUAAUUUGUAAUAUUAAUUACAACACUAAUUAUAAUAAAUAAUUGAAUUUCUAUUCAAUUUCUUCCUAAUUCUCAAUUUAAUCCUAACUAAAUUCACUUACUUUCCUAAUUCAAUUCACACUCUAUUUCUAUUCAAAUUUCAUCCAAACUAAAAUUUAACUAUCAAAAUUUCAGCAUAUUUUGCUAAUUUUGAAUUUCCCUCAAUUUAGUCCCUAAAACAUAAAACUUAUAGUUUCUUUUACAAUUUAAUCCCUUUUUCAAUUCUAACUUAAAAUUCCUUCAAGUUAAUCCCUAAUUCAUCUCUUUUGUUCAACAUAAACUAUACUUGAAAACCUAUGAACUUACAAAAUAUCAACUUAAUUCCAUCAAAACUUUGUUUUAAAGCUUUUAAAACAUUAGAAUUAAGAGAAAAGGGCUAAUUUGACUUACCAAUCAAAGCUUUAAACCUUAAACCUUCAAUUUUUCCUUUUUCUUUCUUUUUUCUUCUUUCUCCCCUGUUUCUUCUCUGUUUCGUCUUUGGCUAUUCUGAUUCUCUCUUCUUUUGUUUCUUUUAUUCUUUUAUUUUAACUUACUUUAUUUUAUUUCCUUUAUUUUAUUUCUUUUGUUUUCUUUUAUUUAAUUACUUUAAUAUAAUAAUUAAAACAAAUAUCUAUUUAGUAAUUAAGUAUAAGUAUUACAAAUGUAUGUAUUUUAUUAAUACACUUGUAUUAAAUAUCACCAUACAUUUGUCUUUAUUUAAUUUAUUUCUUAAUAUAAUAUUUAUAAUAUAAUUAAUUUAAUAAUAUCCUUUAUAAUUAAUUUAUAUAUUUAUAUAAAUAAAUAAUAUAAAAAUCUAAGAUUUUUACAAUGUUAUGCCGCCUCAACUUCCAAAUGUGGCUUAAUUGCCCAUUUGGUCCCUCUUAUUUUCUUUUGAUCUAUAAUUAAACAUUUACCCUUUAUUCAAUUUAAUCCUUUUUCCUAAUUAUUCUUAAUUAGAUUAAAUUCAUCUAUCUAAAACUUAAUUAAACACACAACUAGUCUCGUAAAUAUUUCUAAUAAUUAUUUUCGGACUCAAUUUACUAAGACGGAGGCCCGAUAUUAUACUUUUUCGAUGCCCGUGAAUUUUGGGUCAUUACAUCCAUUUACCAAAUUUGUACGUGUUAUGGAAUAGGCAGUUUGAGUCAUUUCUCGGCUUUUUACCAACACAAUAUUUUCUGCUCUUAUCGAACAUCGGCUUACUUAGAGUACAAGCUCUAAUUUAUGAAUCGAUGAACACAAUGAAAACCUUAUGGAUGUUCUAGUAGAGAAGAUCGAUAAUUCUCUAUGGGCUAAAAACCACAAGCAAAACUCUCUCAAAACUAGAAUUUAUUUCACUAAAAAUUGACAGAGUGUUAAUGCUUAGUAUUGUAUAUUUGACCUAGUCCAUAAUCUUUAUUUUUAGAGAAAAUCACAAAAGUUUUAGUUAAACACGAGAAGUAAAAUAAUAAUAUUUUAAUCAAAAAACACAUAUCCCUACUAGAAUAAUAAGGUGGGUAGCGGCACCCACAUUGCCUUCGAGAACCCUGUGUGUUGCCCAUCCCAUGUAUUAUGGGCCUACUGAGCCUUUUUCAUGUAUCAAGUACAAUUAAAUAGUUCUUUUUAGUUUUUUCAAUCAAUCCGUAUAAUUUUAUCAAACCAAUAACUUGUUUUAUAUUCUCAAAAUGUUAUUUAUUUACUUUAAAUAAAUUCUGAUUCCAUUAAAAUAAUGACGAUUUUAUCAUACUAGAAUAUAUGAAAAAAUAAAUUUAAUCAUUUUGUUCAAUAAAACUACAAUUAUUAAUUAAGUUAAUUUCUACUUUGAACUUCAAUUAUUUAAUUAUAAUCAAUUAAAUAAUAAUUCGAAAAAAUUAAUUAAUCUCCAAGUUCUCUCUUGCUUAUACUGAUAAAACACAUUCAAUGCGAAUAGUGAUACAUAAAAUCUUUUUUUUUAAUUAUUCAUUUUCAUUUAUUCGUCUCAUUGAUUCAAGCGUAAACCAUCAAGAUUAUACCGAGAUAACAAAAAGCACUAAUAGAACAUAUAUAAUUAAUGUUAAAAUAAUUUAUAAUCAUGUUUGAUCCAUGUUUUUCGUGAAGGAAACUGUUGGGCCGAUGCUCUUGCAAGAAUGGCCAAUAAUUCUAGUUUGCUAAAUAACUUUAACUAGCCCCUUAACUACAGGAGGUCAGGAUACAUGGGUUCUUAUUAGCUUGCUAAAUAAUUCUAGUUUGCUAAAUAACUUUAACUAGCCCCUUAACUACUCACCUGAGUUUGGAUAUGGGAAACAUGGAGCCUUGCGGAAAAAAGUUUAUAAAGGGAACUGGGUUCUUAUUAGUGAAUGGAAAUGAGUCAAUGACCAACAAACAAAACAACAUAAUUAAUGCAAUUCUUUCAAAAAAUUGCAUGGAAAACCAGACAUGAUAGGAAUGAACAAGGUAAGGUUUCUUCUUCUAAAGAUAAAAAACAAAAAGGCAUGCUAGCGAAUGCAAACAUAGAUAUCAGAGGUUCUUCGACAUCAGAAACCAUAGUUCGAGAUUGGUAGUAAGACUGCAAAACAAGUCCAGAAUCAUGCAAGAAAAAGAGAAUUUUUCACGGAGCAAACGUCAAGGUAACCAAAUCAUUUAAGGCCUUAAUGCAAGAGCAGUGGUGUCUGCUCCUAGCCUGGUUGACUUAAAAAGAUCUGCAAACUGAGAUGAUUCACCUGAGAAGAAGAUGAUGAUACAUAUGAUUGAUGAUUCAAACAGAGUUCAUCAAGAACAACACCAAUCAAUUGAAUAUAAAGAGAAGCCAACACUAUAAUAUAAUCUGGGACAUGAAGUUUUAACUACUUUGAUGCCUGUUUCAACCCUUGUGCUCAGCGAUAGGGUGUAUAUAGCAUGCCACAGUUUAUUCAUUUGUAAGCAGAAACAAAGUCAUAUGAUAUGAUAGCAAACCUGCUAUUAUUUGCAGACCUCUACAGCGAAAUGAAGCAAACAAAGUUUUCUUAUGACAUUGAAUAGUUGAAAUCAAAUCCCCAAAUGGGAUUCUAAAGAUUAGCUCAAACAGUAAUAGUUCAAUUGAAGUUGAUAAAGAAAAUUUUAAGAAAACACAUUCUAGCACCACAAAUCAGAUUUCAAAAUGUUCAUAUAGGGUACUUUCUCAGGCUUCAUCAUACAAUGGAAUAUCUAUGAUCUUCCAAAGUGAGAUCCAGUAAAAUGGUCAGACAGAUUGGCGUUACUGCUUCUUCUCUUCUGCUUUCCUUGGCUGAAGAAAAAGGGGAAAAAACCAUGUAUAUAUAAAAAUUUAGUGUAUAUAUUUGGAGAGAUUAAACAAAAUAACAGCACAAAAUAAAAACAAAAGACAAAUACUUGGAAUAACUAUUUAUCAUUAGGUUUGAUAUCCUUAAGGUUAUCAUUUUAAGCAAACAGAAUAUUAAUAGAGUCAAAGUCAGACCACAUUAUGUGAUAAUUCCACAACUUACCAAGACAUACCAAUUAUUCGACAAAAUGCCUCUACCAACAAAACAUAAAGAGCAACAAUUGGAAACCAACCCAGAAGAGAAAAGUGCCCAAACCUUGGUUCCAGGAAAGGAUUGGUGAAGUUCCUCCUCGGGUAUAAUAACGGGCCACUUCUCGCCUGCUUCACGGAACAUUUGCUCAGUCUCAAGCAUCUGACCUUUCUCGAGGAUCAUGGUCCUAAUGGUUUGAGCAGGAGUGGAAGUGGCAUCAAAAGCUUCUUCCACUCCGUUGACGAAAGUAACGGUGAUUUGGGGCGGGUGAUCGUCGGUUCGGCGCUUGACCUGAAGUUGGCAGGCGGGGUUGGACUCUUUAGCUUUGCGGGCGUUGCACUGGGCUAAGAAUUCCAUGCAUGAAGCUAUGCGUGGGUCCAAUGCAUUGAACUCGAUCUUCACUUUGGAUAGAAACUUCAACAUCUUCUUCCAAAGUCGGAUUGUUUGCUGUUAGGAGUUUUGGUUCAGCCAACUCGCUUCUAAUUUCCACAGAACAUCCAUUUGAGUCAUUUACUCCCAAUUAGAGGUCUUCGUGGCCGGGCCAGUCCUUAACAUAAUUUUAGGCCCAAAUGAUAUGCCUGGAAAUGGCCCUGAAUUUUUACCUAAGCCCAACCCAGAUUAUAGAUGAUGAGUCCGAACCCAACCCAUAUUAUUUAAAAAAUUUAAUAUAAAUAAUAUAAAUUUAAAAUAUAUAAUAACUAACAUAAAAGAAAAGAAAAAUAAAAAUCAAAAUAUUGAGUAUUGAAAACAUAUGAUAAGCUACACUUUCUUUUUUGCUGUACAAAUACCCAAAUGCUUUAAAAAAAAAAAUGUCUUGUUGCAGUUUCUCAAUGAAGCUGAGAAACAAAUCAAGCAGCCAACACUAUGUUUAUCCUAUGAUUUGGUGUUCAUUUUUUGCAACCAAUUUCUAUGAAUAUUAUAGUUUGGUUCCUUCCACUACCAUACAUAAGAAACCUUAUCAACUAUUAAUUUGGAGGAGAAGCUUACUUGGAGUUUUUCAUGGCCUUUUUUAUAAGGCUCAAGUUAGAUAAUGGAGUUUCAUUAGAGAUCAUACCUCCUGCUUCCGCUUCUCAUUUAAACAUUCAACGCAAAAGAUUGAAGGAAACCAAAUCAAACCAGUAGAAAGUUACAACUAUACACUUUACAAAAGUAAAGUGAUAAUUUAUUUCAAAUAUAAUACAAAAAUAUUAAAAAUAAAAUUAUAAUUUAAAAAAAAAUUAGGUGAUGAUGUAGUACGAUUUCAGAAUGUCAUGUUAUCAUAUCUUAACAGAAUCUAAGUUCAUCUCCUAGAUUAAUUUGAAUUAAAAAAGAGAAUGAAAAAUUACAAAUUUCAAGGACUAAAUGUUGUAGUAUUCCUUAUUUAUUUUGGUAUCAGAUGUUUAACCCUGUAGUAUAAGAGAAUCUGUAAUUAAUUGACCUUUGGGUAGUUCAUUAUCGUUUUCUGUGCCUGGAACCCUAGUUGGAAACUGUAAAUUUGAUAAGAAUCAUUCAUAUAAUUUUGACUUUCCCUUACUUGGAAGAUUGAUGUGAUUGAAAAAAUGUACCAUUUUCUGUGCCUCAUGUCUAUCCUCAAAUUGUACUUUAACCUGGAAAGCAGCUUCUAUUCUCAUUUCAUAGUCAAGCUUUUUUUCUUCUUUAUUGGAAAGCCCAAGCUUGCUUUUAAUAACCUGUCCUUUUGGUUGAUUUUUAGAGAACAAUUCCGUUGAUCAUAGCUUCCCACUUUUCCAUAUGGACUCUCCACCAUCUCCAAAAGCAACCAUAUUUUGCCAUUGAAUCUUAUUCUUUCCAUGGGGACCCCGCAGACCAUACACUUUAUUUGCAUUAUUUGAAGCAAAUAAUUCAACUAUGUCUACAUGUCUCUAGCUACUAUACCAGCUUCCAUCAACUUUCUUUACUUGAUUAUUAUCAUUAUUAUAGUUUAAAUAUAGUUUUAUUUACUGAUAAUGUAUUAUUAGUUUAAACUUGUUAGGGAAGAUAUUUAAAUGAAAUUUGAUGUAGAAAAUGGAGAAAUCCUGUUCUUGCAAAAAUACCUUUCAAGAAAUGAAGGGGUGCUCCAACUUGUGAGUGGAUGGUUCGUGGCUCACUAUCUAAGGUGAAACAAGCUCCAACCCUUUGAAUCCUUAAUGCAUGUCUCGUGCAAAUCAGCUAAAUAAUAAUAAAAAAGAACAAAUGGAAUCAAAGAAGAGAAACCUGAAGGCAUCUCAGGUUUUUUGUCUGUCUCUUAACUUACAUGUGUAGACAAUGGAUGCUUCUUCAAAAGUCAAGCAAUUUCAUCAUCUCUUAAUGGAUAGCUUGUAUGGUGUGGACCCCACCAUGGGAAUCAUGCUUGCCUUACAGUUUUUAUAAUCAGAACCAGGAACUACACCCACUCCAUUUCAAUAAAUAAAAGCCUCUUAAUAAUCACUCUCAUGAGGUGGGGGAAAGGCCUAUUAAGAGCUAUAUACACAAUUAUUUCGUAAGGGUGCUAUGCAUCAUCAUAAAGCACUUAAGUUGAUUACAACUUACAAGAGCAAAACAAAAGAAAAAAGAGCUUGAUUGGUCUUUACACACACAAAUAUUGAUAUGAAUACCAAGGUAAAAUCUUCCAAAUACAUGAAAUAACUUAAAACAUUUAUAUUUGAAACUUACAUCCUGAUCCGAAUAACAUAGGGUGGGCGGAUGGUGGAUACCCUGCUGCUUCAUCAUACACCGCUGAUCUGAUCAUACUUCUGGUUGGCUCUCUACUUUGGUGACAUUUGAUGCUUCUUUGGUUUUAUUAAUUGACAGCUUGCAAGAAUCGAAUCUGCAAGGGUCAGCCUCAAUCAACAGCUGAACAACCUCAUUCAUCGGUGGACGUUGGGAUGGAUUCCUGUAUGUACAACGCAUCGCAAUUCUGAGAACCUGAAUCAUCUCGUCCUUGAAUGACCCCGACACUCGCUUGUCCAACACCUCCAUCACCCCUUCCUUCGUAUCCAGCUUUGUCGAAACCCAAUACACGAUGUUCUUGUUCUCCCCGAAAACUGCUUCCACCGGUUUCUUCCCGGUUAUCAGUUCCAUCAACACCACUCCAAAACUGUACACAUCACUCUUGGUCGUUGCUUUGCUUGAAUACGCAUAUUCUGUCCGUCAAACACAUUGAUUGAACUUAAUUGAACAAUUAAAAAAAAAAACUAAAAAUAUAUGAAUAAACAAGAUGUAUACCUGGGGCUAAAUAGCCAUAGGUGCCUGCUAUGACGGUAAUGAUUGAAUCUUUGCCUCCUCUGGCUUGUAAAACCUUGGCUAUUCCGAAAUCUGCAACUUUGGGUUCAUAAUUGGCGUCCAAUAGGAUGUUGGUUGACUUGAUGUCUCUGUGAAUAAUAGGUGUCAACAGAUCCUGGUGAAGGUAUGCCAAGCCUUGUGCGACCCCAAGUGCUAUUUGGUGUCUAAUUGGCCAAUCUAAAUGGAUCCAUCCUUUAUGAAGAGCAUCCCAAAGGUUCCCAUUCGGCAUGUACUCGUAAACCAACAUUUUGCAAUCGAAGUUCGUGAUGUAACUAUAGAGCUUGACUAUGUUUUUAUGCCUUAUGCUUCCAAGAGUCUCGACCUCGGUCUUCAACCCUUUGUCGAAGAUCAAUUGGUCUUCUGGAGUGGAGUCUUUUGCUGUUCUACUCCACAGCUUCUUCACUGCAACAACUUCUCCACCUCGCAACCUGAUUCUAUACACGGUGCCAGACCCUCCGUGGCCCACAAUGUUUUUAUCAAUCAUUGCUUCGAGGAUUUCGUGCCGGUCAAAACAUAUUCUAUGGAAGCUCUUCACAUCGUACGAAAAAAAUGAUGAAGACAAGGUCUCGUCAUGUUCUACUACACCUCUUUGUUUGCUGUAACGCCGUCUCAGGAACAGGAUGGCUCCGAUAGUAAAGACAAUGACUGAUAUCAUGAUUGCCCACAUAGAAUUUCGCUUCUUUUGGUUGUGCUUGUGUGAACAUUUGGGGAAACUUUGAACUUCGACAGGAGCACAAAGACCUGGAUUGCCUGAAAAGCUUUCCACCAACCCGUCUUUAAUCAACGAGAGAGGAAUUGGACCAUAAAGUUCAUUGUUUGAAAAGUUGAUGGUGUUAUACGACAGUUCACCCAGACUCUCUGGGAUAUUCCCAGUCAAGUGAUUGUUGGAAAGAUCAACAACACUGAUAGAUUUCAGCAAAGAAAGUGAACUGGGGAUCGAAGAGCUUAGCUUGUUCCCUUGCAACAUCAGUAAAUUCAGUUUCUUCAGAUCACCAAUCUCUGUUGGUAUUGGACCGGACAAGAGAUUGUUACUGAGAUCAAUCUUCAUCAGAUUUAUAGCUCCCGAGAUUUCAGGAGGUAAAAAACCUGACAACUUGUUGUUCUGCAUGAACAGUUCGGACAAGUUCUUGGCAUUUCCAAUUGAACUUGGAAAAGGACCUGUAAAACUAUUUUCAGCCAAGUCGAUAAUUGCAGCAUGAGGGAGUCCUAGAAGAUCUUCUGGUAUGGCGCCUUCCAAGUAGUUUUUGCUAACUCGGAACCGAAUAAGAGACUUGCAGUUUGCAUAACUAUCGGGCAACUUUCCAGAGAACUUGUUAUCUAAGACAAGCAAAUACAGUAACCUUCCACCCCGACAUACCUCUGCAGGCAAUGGACCUGAUAGGUUGUUCUCCGACAAGUCUAAAAGAACCAUAGCGGAGGACUUCCCCAGAUUCUGUGGAACUUGUCCUGAUAAGAAAUUCUCAUAGAGUGACAGCAUGGUCAAGGUUGUUGACUCUGCAAUAGCACCAGGGAUUUCUCCUGUAAGACUGUUGUUGUAAAGUUGAAGGACUUGAAGUUUGGGGAGUCGACAUAGAGAUUCUGGAAUGCUUCCACUCAACCGAUUGACAGACAUGUCCAAGUCUACGAGCUCUGUAAGGUUUCCCAGUUCCUCAGGUAUUGAGCCAGAUAAGUGCUGGUUGUAGUAUAACUCGAGCUGCUGCAAGUUUUUCAGCAAUCCAAGCUCCUUUGGAAUCUGACCUGAAAGGAAAUUACCACUCAACUCGAGAUCAACAAGCGAUGUCAUGUUCCCAAUCGAUGCCGGGAUUGAACCGUACAACAUGCAAGACGUGAAGACCAUAACUCUGAGUUUUGUGAGCCUAGAAAUGUUCCCCGGAAGUUGCCAUAAGUUCAAGCCAUCAUUUUCAUUGAAGUAGAUCACCUCGAGAUCGGUGAGAUUGGUUAUCGACAUGGGGAAGUCACCUGUGAAGAGGUUGUACGACAAGUCGACCACACGCAGAGAAGUCAUUUUCGAGAAAUCCGGAAGUGUUGUUCUAAGGUAUACGGAACUCAUACUGAACUCUUCCAAGAGAGAGCAGUUAACGAUGCUGUUAAGAAAGUUGCCACGGAGAUUAUUGCGGCUGAUAUCGAGAACGCGUAACUCUGGUAGAUGAGAGCACACGUCAGCCGGGAAAUUACCGGAGAGGGACCAGUCUGAGAUGUUAAUGCUUUCAACGUAGCCUCUAUUGUUGCAGCUGACACCACGGAAAUCGCAAUAACUUUUCAUUCCACUGACAUCCCAUGCAGACAAGGCCUUUCCUGAUAGAGAGGCCUUCAUGAGGUUAAAGAACCGAAAUUGAUCAUCUCUUAUAGCUUGAGAAGAAUCAUAAAACACAAAACUAAGCACCGCCAGCAGCAGAAGGAGAUGAAUAAAUUUCGGUGCCAUUUCAUAGAAAAUGAAAAAAGAAGCUUAAUGUUAAGGCAAUUGUUUGCAGCAGAGAAAGGUGGAAAAGUGAGUAUAUAAAUGAGCUGAUUGAGGGGAUCAUGGGGUGCAACAGUAAUAACCCCUCGACGAUGGAAAAGAAAGAAGGUUCCCCUGUUCUUUUUUUUUUCUUUUUGCAUAAAGAGGCUUUUAUUUUCAAUGUUUUAUACCCCACUACCUCAUAUCAUAUACAGGAAUAACAUCCCUUUGGCUCUUGAUGUGAUCAGUCCUGCUUUCUCGUGGAUGGCCAUGGCCCAAAGUUCCACAAAUUUGCAGGUCUAUAUGUUGCCAAUAUUGCCACUUACAUGCAUCAAAUAUACAAAUUUAUUCAAAGCAAGAGCAUGUGUGUAAUGUAUUUUUGUAAUCAAAAGCCAACUGCUUUUCUGGCAUUACAUGAAAGAUACCAUGAUUCUUCUUCUAUCGCUGUACGUGGUGCAAUAAUGUACGAACAUAUAAAUUCCUUUUUCUAGGGGUCCUACUGCUAUACAUUUAUAAUGCUGCUAGCUGUUAAUUUGCUUGUGGAAAAUUAUGCUCAUAUCAUUGUUUCAUUUCAUGUCCCAACAGGAAUUUGCUCUCACGUGUGAGAUUCAUAUAUAAUAUAAUAUGAUAUAGUACAGUGAAUCCUGUUUUUGUUUGUCUGGAUUAGAUUAAGUUAAAGUACCAAAGAAUUUUAAGUAAGCUUCUAUUUACAUCUCAAUAUUUAUUUCAUAAAGAUCGAAUCAAAUGUUUUAAAGAAAGAGAGAGUUGCUGGAAAGCUCAUCACCUUCCAACUGAUCUAACGCUAAAAGUAAGUGAAAAAACACUACACUGCCAGUAGUUUAUUAGGUUAAAUACUUAUGUUAUCUGCAGGUAGGCGAUUUAAGUUAGCAUGAUAAUUCGUGGAAAUUAAGAUGGAUGCAGUUGACAAGCUUAUAUAAUUACUAUAUUCACAAUGCUACAAGCUUAAGGGAAUCUUUGGAUUGGAUUGGAUAGAGCGGGGAAUAGAGAUGAUAUGCUCAAGGAUGAAUAGCUUGUAGCAAAGAUGCCCACUCUUCAUAAAGUCUUUGGUGUUGUUUUGAUUCUCAGCUAAAUAUUUAACAUAUUAGGUUUAAUUUGACUUCAGUCCUUAUACUCUUCAAACCUUUGAAAUUUAGUUUUCUUUUUCUACUUUUAUUUCAUAAAAUUUAGUCUUUUUACAUCUCUGAUUUGAAACAUUGUUGUUAAAUUUGAAUAUGUUAUAUUUUAAUAUUCCAAGUUCUUGUUAAGAAUUGAAAUCCAUAGGUAGCACAUAUCCAAAUUUAACCGAAAUUAAUUAAUAAUGUUAUUAGAUAUUAAUUUUUAGAUAAGAUAAUUAUGUUAAGAUAGACUGAAUUCAUUAAGAAAAUACAAGAAAUGAACACUAAGUAUUUAAUACAGUAGGUCAGUAACUACUAACUGAAGUUAACUGACUAACUAUACUUAACUAACUUUCUUGACUAACUUUUCAGCUAACUCUUAUUCCUAACAUGGCCUAUGCUUCUCGACUUUCCUUGUUUCUGCAUGAGACUUUCCUUGCUUCUGUAUGACAUCCCUUCCUAUGGAAACCACUCCAAGUUUUCUCCUGAAUUUGUCGAAUAACCCUACUGACAAAGGCUUGGUCAAAAUAUCAGCAAUUUGAUCCUGUCCAGAGAUAUGUUUUGUGAAGGACAUUCAGACAGGGAAGAUACUACUGGGGGGCCACAUGCAUAAUGGUUGUAUAGGUUUGAUUUCUCUCGAUCUACUUCACAAAAGCCUAAUCCUACUCAAAGCCUCGAGUCUCCUCGUCUGUGCAAUGUUCAGACUCCUUCCUCUGUUGAAAUCUGGCAUGACAGGCUUGGACACCCCUGUCCUAAUACACUUGCUCGUGUUUUGAAGUCUUGUAGUGUUUCUUUCAAACAUAGCAACUUACAGUUUGUGUGUACACCUUGUAAGUUGGGCAAAUCUCACAAACUGCCCUUCAGUACCUCACAAACAUUGUAUUCAUUUCCGUUUGAGCUAGUGGCAUCUGAUGUUUGGGGACCCUCCCAUGUGCCUUCAAAUAGUUUUUCUUACUAUGUGUCUUUUGUAGAUAUGUAUAGCAGAUAUACUUGGUUGUAUUUUCUCAAAUCAAAGUCAGAAGUGUUUCGAUGUUUUCUUUAUUUUCUCAAGAUGGUGCAAGUGCAAUUUGGAAUAUCCAUCAAAAUGCUGCACACAGAUGGGGGGUGAGUAUCGGUCCUUGUAUAAUACUCUCUCUCAGCUGGGAAUUCAACAUCGAAUAACAUGUCCAUACACAUCAGAACAGAACAGGGUGGCUGAACGGAGACAUCGUCAUGUAGUUGAUAUGGGGCUCACGUUACUAGCUCAAACUUCAAUGCCUUUGGUACACUGGUCGUCUACUUUUUCUCAUGCAGUUCACCUUAUCAACAGGUUACCAACACCUCUUUUGCAGCAUCAAACCCCUUAUGAGAGACUCUUUAAGGCUCAACCUGAUUAUUCUCAGCUGAAAGUAUUUGGGAGUGCUUGCUAUUCGUACUUAAGACUGUUCCAGCAGCAUAAGCUUCAGUUCUGAUCUCAACAGUGUGUUUUUCUUGGAUUUAGCCCUAACCAGAUGGGUUAUAAAUGUCUUGCUACAGAUGGCCGAGUAUUUGUUUCACGCCAUGUUUUGUUCAAUGAGACGCUGUUUCCAUUUCAAAAUGGUUUUGCUCUGAUACCAUGUAAGAUAGACUGAAUUCAUUAAGAAAAUACAAGAAAUGAACACUGAGUAUUUAAUACAGUAGGUCAAUAACUACUAACUGAAGCUAACUGACUAACUAUACAACAACUGUACUUAACUAACUUUCUUGACUAACUUUUUAACUAACUCUUAUUCUUAACAAAUUAGAAGUACUAAAUUCUUGGAAUUAAAGCAGAAGAAUGAAUUUUUCAAAAGUUCAAAGAUUAGAGGGACUAGAGACAAAAUUAGACCAUAAGUAUGAUUACUACCUAUAAAAGUAAUCCUUAGCCUCUGAUUUUUUUUUGUCCACAUUAUCUUCAAAUUUUAAUUUUUUUAUUAUAAAUUUUGAUUCUUAUAAUCUGAUAGCACUUUGAUAUCGUGUUAGUGUUAUCUCAACAUCUAAAAAAUAUAUUUUAUAAAAAAUUUAAAUAAUUAUGUCACAUUAUCAUAAAACAACAAAAUUAUCCAAUUUCAAAAACUAACAUCAACGAAAAAAAAUUUUCAAAUAGCAUAUUAAGAAAAUUUGACAAAUUGUAAGAGUAAAUGUUAGUCUAUCCCAAAGUGAAAUAAAAACUAUACAAAUUAUUAGAUCUAAAGUAGAUGAAUAAGUAACCAAAAAAAGAAAAAAAAAGCUUAAGGGUCAAAAAAAAAGUCUUCGGUAAAAAAUUAAAAAAUUGUUUAAGUCUUUAUGGAAAAAUCAAUUAAUCCCUUCCGUUAACAAAAACCGUCAGUUGACCAAUUUGAUCAUUAACAUUAUUGACAUAUUGAUGGAAGUCACUAGAAACUGUCAUAUGACUAUCAAAUUAGUAAAAAGUAAUAUAUAUAUAUAUUUAAAUAAGUAAAAUGUGCUUAUAAAAUAAAUUUGGACGCAUUGUUGUCCAGAUUUAAAUAAAUAUGAACAAUUGGUUGUACAGAUGAAUGUAAAACUAAAAAAGAAUUCAAAAAUUAUAAAAAAUAUAUAUUAAAAAUUGUAAAAAAAAAUAGAAUAUUAACAAUUUUUAAUACUAAUUAACCAUUCUUAAUAUUAACAAAUGAAAUUACAAAAAGCAGUGAUUAUUAGAGCAUUGUGAUCCAGAUAUUUUUAAUUUAAUUAUUCCCAUAGGCACAGAAAUAAGUAUAAUAUGAAUACUUACUAUUAAACAAAACUAAAUUAUAAUGUAAGAUUUAACCCUAUAAAACUCUUGGAGGCUAAGGAGAUGAUGGAAUUGGAUCUAAAACAUGCGACUUUCAUGACCUUCCUUCAAAGCAAAUAAAAAAAAAAAGAGGUGUAAUUACAAUCCAUUUGCCUUAUUGCAAGAGUUGCGAUCGUAUUACAUUACCACACUUCUUCUACCAUAGUGGAGACUGUGGACAGAACAGUGAAUGAGGUGAUUCAUCGGGUUAAGUGUGUGUUCUGUAGGUGGACUAAAAAUAAUAAGCUUUUUCAAUUUUUUUUAAUGAGUAAAAAUGUGUAAAAUUCAAAACAAGUAACGAGAACAUAUACAAGAGGAAUCAAGAGAGCAGAGAAUGAAGAGAAAUUUAUGAGAGUAUUGAAGAUAUUCAAUUAUGUUUAAAAUAUUAACAUUUUUUAACUUUUUUUUUUAUAAAUUUUAAAAUUUUUUUAGUUUUGUAUUCAUGCAAAAUUUAUCUAACUCGUUCUACAUGCACAUUUUAAUUAUUUUUAAAACGUAGUUUUUCAUUUGGCAAUUUCUGAUGACUUUUGUCAAAUAUGUCAGUAAUGUUAACAGAAAAACCCCACAAUUUCCAUUAAUAAAAAAAGCCAAUUGAUUUUUUGGGCCGUUGAGAACACAAUUAAAUAUACUUUUUUUUCAUAAGAAUUCUGUUAUUAUUUUUUAAUUUUUUUGUUUAAGAAAAAAAUAGAUGAAUGGGUGCCAAAAUAUGACCAGACAGUAAUCGAUUUUAGCUGAAUGCACUGAAUAAUGUUCCUCAAGUGCUAACCCUAUUUCUAUAUAAUAAAUCUGAUUUAUUAUUAUUAUUAUAUAGGGGGAGAAUAAUAUUAUUCUUUUUGGAGGCUCAAUUCCUUUUUCAAUUUGAUUUACUUUCCAUAAUAUAAUGAAAAUAAGGGUUACGGUUUGCCUUAUGACUCAAUCUAUAAUCAUGUGUUCAUAUGUAAUAAAUUUCACUAUUACAUAUUGUUUUUCAUUAACAAAUUUUGUAAGGUAAAUGAUGAAAAGUGGAAAUAAAUCAUAAAAUAGUGUACCCUAACUUUAGAUACAUAACAAUCAUUUUUCUUUCACACCAACUUUUCCAGGAAAAAGAAAAUUAGUUUUCUUGUCUAUUUCAUUUCAUCAAUCAAAGUGACUGAAUAAUUCAUAAAUAAAGAAAAGGCCUAGGAACAACUUUUGAGAGUGUAUGUAAGAAUCAACUAAGAUAUUUCACAUAAACUUUAAAUUUGCUUCCAAUAUAAGCUUUUCCCUCUCCCUCAUUCCCUACAAUAAUUUCCUAUGGAAUCCUCAAAGGUUUUAUUAUGAUUUCUAAAAUUGUUUAGUGUAUUGAUUUAAUUCCUACAAAAAAAUAAAUUUAGAGUUAAUCUUGAUAAAAAAUUUGAAAUAAUUAAAAUCGCGAAAAAAAAAAUGAAACAAAUACUUCAUUUUAAAAAAUUUAUGAUACAUUUUAUCAGAUGUAUUACGAAUUAAAAUACAACACGAAUAUGAUAUUACCAAAUAAAUUAUUCUCACCUUUAAAAUUAUAUAAAUAAAUUAUUCUCUAAAUUAAAUAUAUCUACAAAACAUAACACAUAAAAGUAAUAUAAAGACGACAUCUACACAUAAAAGUAAUAGGAUUUAUAAAACUUAAAAAUAUACAAGUAUAUGAAUAUGACAUAAAAAUAUUACUUCAAAAACAAACAAAUAAUAUGAAAUAUCAACACGACUUGCCAAGUGUGUAAAGAGAGUGAAUAACUCUACGAAAAUCGAAUGCAAUUUCAUGAGACAAUAGUAUUAAAUCAUAUUCAACUUUAUCAUAAUUAGUUGAUUGAGUCUUAAUUUUAUCAAUAUAUAGAAAGACGUGGAUUCAAAUGCACUGAAGCGUUUUAUCCUCCUAUUCAUGAGUCGGGGAGGAACUAUAUCCUCUUUAAUUAAUAACAUAAAUGACCGUUGAAUUGUGUUACCUCAUGCAUUAAAUUAGUUAAUGUUAAGUUAUGGUUUAAUUCUCAAAUAAAUAAAUUAUGAUUAUAAUUAAAUUAUUAUGAUAAAUUAUGAAAAAUACGAGACAUCGAAACGAUUAUAACAGAGUACAUAUGAUCCAAAAUUAAAUAAAAUGCAUAUAUUUAUACAAAUUUACAAUCUUUUAAAUACAUGAAAUGAAUAAUAUGAAGAUGCCACAAAUUAUUAUUUUUCCUCUUAUGUCGAGUUACUAUAAAAAAUUAUGUAAAAUAUGAAAUUAAUUAAAUCGCAAUAAAAAUAGAUAUAAUGUUCUUCGAAGUUGGACUACUAUUAUAAACUAUGUAAAACAACAUGACACAAAAAAGGGGAAAAAAAACAACGACAACAAUAUUACGAGUACAACAUUCACAGAUCAACAUGUCAUGAAAAAUUAUAUAAAUUUAUAACACUCAAAACAUAAAAGAUAUGAAAUAAUUAGAAGAGUGCUUUAAAAUCGACAUAAAAUAACCUAUAAAUACAUAAAAAUUAAAUAUAAAUUUACAAUAUUUUAAACGAGCAUAAAAAAACAUUAAGACAACAGAAAAAGAUAAAUUUAAUUGAAAUAUACUUCUUAAACCUAGACUCAAAUGCUCUAAUUGAUUACCCCACCAUGAUUAAAAUUGUCAGGAAUACAAUAUUCAUAAAUCUAAAAAUGUUUUUGUUAACGUGUUAAUUAUGAGUGUUGAGAAAAGGUCGGCUCAUUCGAAAGAAGUUUUUGAAGUGUCAUUCACUUCAUAAAUGCGAAAUACUUAUCUUACAAGAAUGACAAAUAAAAAAGAAAAGUGUGGGAGAGAUAAAAAGAUGCAGCGUCGUUUGUCUAUUUGACUAGUCAAACACUGGCUAAUUCAUAGAUCUUUGGGUUUUGAUUACCAAGGAAUAGAGACUUUACAAAUAAAGCUCGAGGAUUGGGAUUCCAUUGCUGUUAUUUUAUAUGUAUAUGGUUACAAUUAUCUAUGUUCCUAAUGUGCCUAUGAUGUAGCAUCAAGCGGACUGUUAGCCAGUGUGUAUCAUCUUACGAGAAUAGAGUAUGGUGUUGAUCAACCGGAAGAGGUAUGUAUAAAAGUAUUUGCUCCAAGGAAUAACCCUAGAAUUCCAUCUGUUUUUUGGGUUUGGAAAAGUUCGGAUUUUCAAGAACGAGAAUCUUAUGACAUGUUGGGAAUCUCUUAUGAAAAUCAUCCAUGACUAAAACGUAUCUUAAUGCCCAAAAGUUGGACAGGGUGGCCUUUACGUAAGGAUUACAUUGCCCCCAAUUUUUAUGAAAUACAAUACGCUUAUCGAAUGGUAAGAAACUAAUUACAACUCCAAAUAUCCAAGGAAUAUUUGUACAUUCUCUCGUAGCUCAAACUGAGGAAUUGAAAAGCUUUUUAUAAGCUGAUUUAUUGAAGUCAUUCAUCAACGGUGGCAUGCCACAAUUCCUUUUUCUUUUUGACCCUAUGCCAGUAAUUCCACUAUUAUUAGUGAACAAUAAUGGAAAAAUUAAAUUCCUUCAUGUUUGUUUCAUAAUCAUAGAGAUAGGGGACAUAAUACACAUGGAUAUAGUAAGUUUUGUUUGGGCUGCUUUAAUGAUAGUCUUUACAUUUUUCCCUUUCACUCGUAGUAUGGGAAGUGGGCUUCAGGGGUGCUCCUAAUUGAGGUUGAAGAAUCAAAUCGUAUUAAUUAUUUUUUAAAUCGUUUUGCAAAAUUUUUUUUAAUUAUUUUAUUAGUCUUCAUUUCGAAUUGAAUGCUUGAGACAAUAAAUUCAACAAAAAUAAGAAUACCUCGUCAAAAUAGACCAUGACGCACGAUGAGCAUAAUGUGUUUACCAACUAAUAAAAUAUCAAUCACAAAAUUUAUAUGCAAGUACACAUAAUAUCAUUCCACCAACACAUUUUUUAUUAUAUGCAUCUAGGCCCAUACCCAAUUUUCCUUUUUUAGACAAUUACUAAUUGAUAUCAAUUUGGGUUGUUUGUGUCUAUAAGCUCAAGACCCGGGCAUUGAAAAUUGAAAAUCUUGUCUAAGUGGGCUAAAGCCCGGUGACCUAGCCAUCGAUAUUUAAUAAAUAGGAAAAUAUUAUAAUAAAUACAAUAUUUUAAGAUCCCGCCUAGCAAUAUUUAUUGAAUAUUUAUAUCUCUUGGUUUUAUUUUUUCAAUAAUAAAGGACAGGUUUUGUUAUUAGUUGCAUGCUAAGUGUGGAUUUAAUUUAUGUAUAUAUAUUAAUUUCGUUAAUUUUUUAAAUUUUAUAUUAGAUCAUUCUCAAUCAUUAUAUUUUUUUAAUUACAAAAUUUUAGUAUUGAUGCGAACAUCAACCCUAAAAUCAUUUAGCCGACCUUUUAGUGAGAAAUAUAUAAAAAUAACAACAUGACAUAACAUUAUAUAGGCAAUAAUAUGUUCUUUGUGUUAUAUGUUGGAAAUAACAUAACUUAAUGAAUAUAAUGUCUACUAUUGGGUUAAGAUUGAAAUUUCAAAUUUUGAAAAAUAUCUUUACUAAAAUUACCAAAUUAAAGUAUAUGGAUUGAAUCCAUAAUAAGGACCGAUAGCAAAGUUUAACAAAAAAAAUAAACCAAAUAGCUAAAGGUUUUUUCAUCAAAAACAUCUAGCAUAAUGCCAAAUUUAGCCCUUAAUAUUUAUAUUUUUUUGUCAAUUUGAUUCUUGUUUUUUUUUUAAGCUAAAUUUGGUCCACAAUCUUUUAUAAAGAGUCAAAUUUAACUAUCAAUCUUUUGAAAAAAAAAAGUCGAAAUGAUAUUUUUCUAACAAGAAUACUAACUAAAAUGUUAAAAUUUUAAACACUAUAACUUGCAUAACAGUCCACGUGUACUUAUUGACGAAGCCACAUGCAUGAUUGUGGGGCAAUUAAAGAAAAAUAAAAGAAAUUUUACUCGUAAUUUUUAUAAAAAAAAUUAUAUAAUUGAUAAAUUGACCCAUAAAAAUUUGAAAAUUAUUUACCAAAAAUUUUAAAAAUAAUUAUUUUUACAAAAUUAUUUUAUAUAAAAACAAAAGAAUAUCCAUAUCCACUAAAAUCCAUUUUAUUUUCUUUUAACACUCAUUACUUUUCUCUCAAAAUUCUCUUAUUCUCUCUCUCAAAAAAAAAAUCUUUCAAUACUUUCAAACAGAAUUUCGUAAUUGGUAGUUCUGACUUUUCUUGUGAUAGAUUAAGAUUUUUAUACAAGAUCUAGUUUUUUAUUGAUUGAAUGAUUUUGGGAUAUUGAUUUUGUAUGAGAUUUCUAAUAUAUUGAUUGGAUAAUAAUUUGUACAUGUUAACUAAUACAAAUCCUUGAAGAAAUUAAAAUUGGUUGUAUUUAUAAUCUUGAUUUUUUAAAAAUAUUGAUUAAACAUUUAGUAUUUUUAUUUAGAAAUUAUUAUUGUCAAUGUAAUUAUUGUGAACCUUGUAUUUGAAAAUUGAUAUAUUGUAUUACCAUGACACCAAAAAGCACUUAAAUGAUUUUUAUUUUUGUUAAUGAAAAUAACUAAUUGUAUACAAGUAAAGUUUUUUGUGCAAGGUUUAAAUAUAUUUUUUAAAAAAGUUUACAAGUAAAGUAGGAGAAGAACAACAAGAAAGGGUGAAUAGUCAAAGUGAAAUACAAACCAAUAUAAAAAGAAAAAGUCAAACUAAUUAAAUUUAGCUUUUAAAGCUUUCUAGCUAUUCAAGGAUUGACAGCUCAAAUUACAAAUUUAUCAACCAAAUGAUAGAGACAAUAUAAGAAGGGCAUAUUUAUUUUAUUGAGUACAAUAGUUGAUAUGACUUUUACAAACAUUUUAACUUUUCAAAAUUUGACUCCACAAUUUAAAUUUAUUGUCUCCGUGUACUUCAUUCUAUUUCUUUUUCAAUUUUUUUAUAAUUUUGAUUUAUUUUAUUUUUAUAAACUUUAUAUCAUAUAAAGAUUAAAAUAAGUAAAAAAUGCGAAAUACUUAAGCAAAUUAAACCCGUAGAAUUAACAACAUCUCGUACAAUUUUUAUGAGUGUGUGUCAAGUUAAUACUCAAUAAAUUGCAAAAAUUAUUUAUAUGCUUCGAUCAGCAUUUCAUUCUCCAUUUGAUUGCCCCUUUUUUGUUGCGUAAAAGUAAAUUAAAAUGGUUUAAAAUAACACGAGUGUUACGUCACAGCUAUGCAAAGUUUAUGGCAAAUUAGUUAAUAAUCUGAGGGUCACCAUUGCCAUGGAAAUAAUAUAAAGUUGAGAUCAAGCCUAGGCUUCUAGAAUUAGAAUCAUCAUCUAAAUUGGCUCUUGCUUGAUUGGUCAGCUAAGCCCUAAAAGAUAUGGAAUUUGUUUUCCGACGCAACGCCUUCCAACAAAUUAAUUGGAUUAAAUAUAAUCUUGUAUGUUACGAGAUACAACAGAAAUCUUUGGUAGCUUCCAAAACCUGUUGGAUCAAAUUGUUUCAGAUGAGUAAUGUCAUAAGAUUUCAUGAUAACAGUGUUUAUUGUUUUUGGCAGAUUUCAUCUGAAAAAAAAAAAGAGAGAAGAAAACUGGCAUUUCUUGUCUCAUAUAAAGCGUACAAUUAAUACCACUAUCACAGGCUCUAGCUAAUACUUCACAAGUGAUCAGAGCUGAUUCAAUUUUACAAUAUGGUACAAAAAUGGUUAUUACAAUAGCUGGCAAUGUUACAGGAUUUUGGGACUAUAGGUUGAACUGGUCGGCAGAAUCCAUGGCUUCCUUUUUCUUCACUUCACCGUCCUUAUUGAUUACGAUGCUGACCAAUUUGCAUGGUUCAGCUUCUUCCAGCAUUUGAACCACGCUUCUCAUGGUUGGUCUAAGUGCCGGCAGCUGGGUCGUGCACAAAAUGGCUAUUUUCAGCACCUUCACAGCAUCUUCUUUGAAAGCUACUGGGAUUCUAGGGUCCACUAUACUUAAAACACUCUCUUUGUUCUUUAGUUUGCUUGAAACCCAAGACACUAUGUCUUUAUUAUCUCCGAACUCUGGUUCGAUAGGUCUUUUUCCGCUCACUAGCUCCAUUAAUACUACUCCGAAACUGUACACAUCGCUCUUCUCGUUUACUUUGUAUGUGUAACCGUAUUCUGCAGAAUUAACAUUUGUACUAUUAAUAAAACAGGAUCUGUAAAAGAUAAUUUUGUGACCAAUGUUUCAUUUGGGAAGUAAACAACUGAAAUUUAACUUACCAGGGGCUAUGUAUCCAUGGGUGCCUGCAAUGACAUGGGUUGAGUCUUUGCCACCAUUGGCUUGGACAAUCUUGGCAAGUCCGAAAUCUGCAAUCCUAGGCUUCAAAAACUCAUCCAGCAAUAUGUUGCUGGAUUUGACAUCCCGGUGGAUCACCGGCCUUUCACAUCCAUGAUGAAGGUACUCCAGUCCCUUAGCUGCACCGACUGCAAUCUCGUACCUUGUAUCCCAAUCGAGCUCCAUUUUUCGACUCGUAUGCAACCGAUCCCACAAGCUCCCGUUAGGCAAGUACUCGUACACCAACAGGCUCGAGUCUUCGCUAGUAAUGCUGCAGUAAAGCUUGACCACAUUGACAUGUCUUAUUGAGCUCAGUGUCUGUACCUCCGCAUCGAACUCCUUUUCCUUUCCCGAACGUCUGCCAAGGAUCGGGGUACUGCUCCGGCUCUUCCAGCGGCCAUGAGAAUCCGUGUUCCAUAUGUGUUUCACAGCGAGUUCUACACCAUUAGAAAGCAUAACUUUAUAUACAUUCCCGGCCCCUCCUUUCCCAAUAAGAUUCUCUUGCUUGAUAGAAUCAAGAAUAUCAUCUUCGGUGAAAGUUAACACAUGGAAAGACUUAACAUCCCAUGAUUCUUCCUUCAAUGAACGGUUAUGAUCUGUUUCCUUCCUCCUUAAAUAUAAGAUACAUCCAAGUGAAGCAAGCACGAUUGCACCUACGGCCAAACAAACUAUAAGCGUACGAACAUGUUUCGACAUUCCGGAAUCCGGUGGACAUUGCUUGAAAGAUUUGAUAGUUGAACUGCAAAGGCCUGGAUUUCCGGCCAAGCUACCGUUAUACGCUUCGACGGCAAGAGACUGGGGUACAGGACCGGUUAAACGGUUAUAGGACAGAUCAAAAAGGUUCAACCUGAGAAACGACAAGCUCUCUGGAAUUCUACCCGAAAGUUCGUUUCGAGACAAAUCCAGAGAGUUCAACGUCGGCAAAGAACCUAAAGAUGACGGGAUUUUGCCCGAAAGAGAAUUGUUAGCCACGUUUAUGUUACUGAUGGAAGCACAAGAGCCUAAUGAGUCUGGUAUGGGACCAGAGAACAUAUUGUUCUGCAAUUUAAGGCUGCUCAAUGCUUUCAGUUCCCCAAUUCCAUCAGGGAUUUCUCCUGACAUCUGAUUGUCAUUUAGCUCAAUUUUAACCAAAGACGUGGCUCCUGAAAUCUCUUUAGGUAACUCACCUGAUAACCGAUUGAACUCAGCUGACAAUAUCCCAAUCUCUUUUGCAUUCUUGAUAUCAGAUGUAAUUGGACCUUCAAAGCGAUUGUAAGCAAUGUCAAUUAUUUCCACUUGGGGCAAUCCCCAUAUUCCGGCAGGAACUAUGCCUGAAAGCGAGUUGUUGCUGACUCUGAACCGCUUCAUAGUGGCACAACUCGCGUAAGUCGUCGGGAUUUCACCGGUGAAGCGAUUUUGAAGCAUAAGGAGCCCUCUCAUGGUUCCCUUUUUGCACAUAUCUGGAGGAAUUGGACCCGUCAAGAGAUUCUCCGAUACAUCGAUGUAGUCAAAAUCAGCCCAAGAGCCUAGCUUUUGAGGAAGGGGACCAGUCAACAUGUUGGUAUAAAGUGACAGAUUCACCAGCUUCUUGAACUCACCCAACUCGGGCGGUACUCCACCGUUAAACCGGUUCUCAAAGAGCUGCAGGCUCACCAGGUUGGUCAAAAACUUCACUUCCGAGAUAUCCCCUUCGAGAUGGUUGCUCGAGGCAUCAAAAUAUUCCAGGCUUGUCAGAUUUCUCAAUCCAGCAGGAAGUUUUCCGGUGAGUUCAUUGGCGUAAAGCUCCAGCUGCCAGAGCUUGCGAAGUUUUCCAAUCUCCGAUGGAAUAUCACCUGAUAAAUAAUUUAAUUGGAGCUCCAAAUCUUUAAGCUCGGUGAGAUCUCCAAUGGCGGGUGGGAUCUUUCCUUCAAUGCUGCAAUUCGCCAAAUAAAGCCAAUUCAGUUUCUUCAACUUCACGAUUUGAUCCGGAAACGGGGUUCGAUCGAAAGGAUUGUCCCCCAGGCUCAGAACAGUAAGAUUGUUCAUGUUUUCUAGCGAUUUCCAUGGGAAACGACCCGAAAAUCCACUGCCGUUCAAAUAAAGGUACUGCAACUCGCUGAGAGCUGAUAUAUCCGGGAAUGGACCCGAGAAAGGAUUGUUCCCGAGAUCCAAAUAUCUAAGCUUUGAACAGUUAUUCAAAUCCUCGGUGAUCGCACCAUACAAUGAAUUGUGCCCCAUGGAAAGCUUAUCCAAGGAUUCAAGCUGGCAUAUUGAAUCCAAAGGAAGAACGCCCGUCAACUUCUGACUCGAAAGCUCGAUUUCCUUAACCGACCCUCCAGCGUCACAGGUGAUUCCAUUGAAGCUGCAAACGGAACCGGUAGCCGCCCAUGAAUCGAGAACAUCGGUGCUUGAUUUAUUGAGAGCUGAUUUCAACGUCAGCAGUAUUUGAAGUUCAUCGGAUUUUACAUAACAAGGGAAGGUGAAACAGAACAGGAAACAUAGAGAAAGAAAAAUUUGCCGGUGGGAACAGGCGUUGGACAUGCCGGCGAUUUGAAGAAACAGACAAGAAAGGGAAGACCCUUCUUUUGUACAAGUAAACAGAGAAAGAAGAAGAAUUGAAACGAAGAGUGGACUCAAGGUAGUGGCAUUUAAGAAAAAAAGAUGGCUGCUUGGCGUUCACAUUAAUCUGCCAGACCAAGCAAGCAUAGUGACGAACAAGGAAAUUUGCCGGUUUCUAGAGACGAAAGUUGUCAUUAUAUUGAAGGCAGUUUAAUUAUUAUUACAGGGUUGACACGGGACUUCCUUUUUCUUCGUCUGUUUGUAACCGUUAUUGUUUUGUAGUAAAUUUCUUAAAAGAAGUAAAAAGAAAAACAGAACAAUGGGAAAAGCACAUUUGUUCGGAACACAACAAGCUUUUAAGUUUAACCUGUUGUAAAUAUUACAGAAUAACUCAAAAUUUAUUAAUCAAUUAGCAAAAGAGCCAAGAAAGAAAGUCUUGAAUAUGACAUUAUCAGAAGUUAACUCAACCCCUUUUUUUUCUUUUUUAAAGAUUCACUGAUCUCUCAACGUGAUGUUAAAGCAAUUAUAGAUUCAUUGGAUUGUUGUUCUUGCUGAUCCUAUCUUGUUAAAAGGUAAAGGAAGAGGACGUUUUUGUUUUUGUAAUUUAUAUAAUAACCGCAAAGGGAUUGCAGUAAGCAAAUCUGGAGUGACAAUAGUGGGUUUUACUUUCCACUAAUUUAUUUACAAUUAAUUAUGACGUGGAAGACGUGUGGAGUUUCAUGGAGCCGCAGAUGUUGAAUUGUUUCCAGAGAAAAACAUAUAUAUUUUUAUAAUAAUGAUCGUGGACCUACAAAAAGGACAACGUGAAAUCUGAAACGCUCCUGUCGGGCGCGUGGUAAAACAUCUCUCUUUGACCCUAACAAUCAUAUAAAAUCUGAAAGGUCGCUGGUUCGAAGAAGGUUGGUAUAUUUUCCUUUUGGUUCCAAAAAGAAGAUUGAUACAUUGAAUCUCGCGUUCUAGAAGGCAAUAUUUAAAUAUUUUACACGUGCCUUCUUGGUAGGGUAAAUUGUAUACAUGACGAUCCAAGUUUUCAGGCGUUUUCAUUUUCGUCACCGCUUCCACUUUCCCAUACUAGAAUAUGGCGUGUUAAAAUUUAUGAAGAAACAAGUGUGUUCAAAAUAUUGAUAUGGAUCCUAUAAUCCAUUUUAUUGUCCUGAUAAUUUUGUUUACUGCUCUUGCUCAACUCUAUUGUCUUUCUCUUUGUAAAAAAUAAAAAUGGAUAUAUAAUGUGUUAAAUUAAUAUUAAUACGAGAUUACUAUUAAUGAUUAUCUUUUUGAAUACCAUUCAAAACAAAAAUGAUUUGUAGUAGGUGAAGAAAAACAAAGGGUGAAAGUGUAAACCAUGAAAGGUUACUCACAUUUCGCUUUUAAAUAAAGUAUACUUUCUUCUUUUGCCUUUAUUUGAAAAAGGAAAAAAAGAAAAAAACCAUUGAUGAAAAGCUAUGAAUCAUGGUUUAUCGAAGGAUAAAAAGGCAAAAGGACAAUCUAAAAUUAAGCAUUUUAUUCCAUUACCUAAAUAAUAGAAGGGUAAACUACAAAAAUAGUCACUUUUGUUUUCCUCAUAUUAUAUUUUAGUCACUUAUGUGUAAAAUGUUACGCUUUAGUUUUGUUACGAAAUGGUCACUCUACCAUUAAGCUCCAUUACCUCCCUAACGACGGUCCUACGUGGUAGUCCAAAUAGGUUUUAAAUGCCAACUUGGAUGUCCUACGUGGCAGUCUAAACUAAAUUUAUUUAAUUAAAAACCUAUUUUCAUCGACACCCAAGUUGGCAUUUAAAACCCAUUUGGACUGCCACGUAGGACUGUCGUUCAGGAGGUAACGGAGUUUAACGAUAGAGUAAUCACUUUGUAACAAAAUGAUAAUGUAAGUGACUAAAAUGCAACAUUUUAAAUAUAAAUAAUUAAAAUGUAAUAUGAGGCAAACAAAAAUGACUAUUUUUAUAGUUUACCCAUAAUAAAAAUAUAUCACCUUUCGUGUUGUUGUGAAAUUAAGAUUAAAACUUGAUUUUUAUGCCACUAGAUAUAAUCCUAGAUGUCAUUUUAAAAACUUAUCUUUGACAAGUCUUAGUUAUUACCACAAUUCUAGAUUAAAAAAAUAAUUAUAGUGCUUAUCUCUGUCCUCUUUUUCUGGGUAUAAAAAGAAAUAUUAAAAUGCAGUAGUGCUAAGGACAAUUCAGACUUUUUCAUUGGAAUUUCGAGAGAAAGGAAGGAUAUUAAAAUUCAAACAAAUGACAAAGCAUAUAUAGAAGAAUUAAAUUAAACUCUGGUUUCUAGAAAUACCAACUCCCUCCAUUUAAUAUUUAUAUUGCUGUUCAAAGAUUUUAUAUAGCUACCCUCCUCUAUUUAUUCUUAUGGCAGAUGGUGGAUCAUGGUUGUUGGACCCCAAACGACUAGUGUUAUUAGAUAAUUAUCUCAAGGAAUAUUCGUAAGGUAGACUAACCCUAGAAAAUAAUAGGAUCUUCCUUGAUUACCAUUAGCGAAGUUAAUAUAAAAUUUGCAUAAUGAAUUACCUCAAUCUGUAAUUUUGUUCUUGUUAUAUCCUAAUCCAUGGUUUUGAAUUUAAAAAUUUUAGAUUACGAUAUGAUAUUAUAGUUAGCAAUGUUACAUUUUAGAAUGAAAUUAUAGUGUUCAGAUUUCAACAUUUCGACUAUCUCGUAACAUAUGGUGUAAUCUCAUUACAGUUCAUUCAUUAGUUAAUCUUAGAUUACAUGCGUAAUCUUAAAUUUUAGACCAAUUUACUAUUUAUUUUUAUUAUUCUAAUCCAUUUAAUUUUUUUCUUAAAUAAAGUAAACAAAAGAUAUUUUUUGUUUAACCAUUAGAUGUCAUACUUUACAAUUAUAAUUAUUAUAUUUUAUUUAAUAAUUUAUUUAUUAAUAUAUUAAUUAUGGUUACAACUAUAAUUAUGGUUAGUGUUGCAAUCACUUUUCAUGAAUUAUUAUAAUUGUGAUUUAUAAAUUUAUUUCAACAUAAUAUAUUUACUUAUUAAUAUAAAAAUUAUAAUAAAAAGUAAGAAUUGUAAUAAAUGAUCAUAAUUUUAUGGAAGUUAAGACUAGAAAAUGUUAAAGAACUAAACUUGUUAAAAAAACAAAUUUCAUAACGAAAGCAGUUGAGUAAAAUAUGCUUCUUGGUAAUCUUACCUUCGACCUAAGCCUUACAUUACAGUCUAAUGAACCAAAUAAGGUAAUUUACAUUUCUAUAAUUCUACUACGGAACAUAAUCUAAGAUUCGACAAAUCAAACGCUCCUUAAAUUUAGUGUAAAAUAUAUUUAUCCUUCCAUGGAUUCAAAAAUGUCCAUUAAUUUUUUGGUUUAAAAAAAAUCCCAUAAAACAUCUUAUAUUUUAAAUGAAAAAUAAAUAUACUCUUGUUAUUAUUAUUUAUUUAUGUAUUUUUUAUUUCAUUUUUAAAUUUUAAUUAUAAGAUAAUAAAAUUUUAAUUACAUGUUGAAGGACUAUAAAAUUAAUUAUAUUUGACUUUUUCAUAAAUUUAAUUUAAUUUAAUUUCAAUUAAAUCAAGUAUUUCAAAUUUAUAUUUUGUUGAGUAUGCUUCAUAUUUUAGUCAAAUUUGAGAGAUAAUCUCCUAGUUAAACUCUGUUUAUUUGUUUCAAUCGAACUUUGAUUAGUUUAGAUUAUUUUAUUAUUAUUUGACCUACGAAUUUAGCAUAUAAAUAAGCUCUUUUACAACAUUAGAAGAUAUACCCAUUAAAGAUUAGAACUCAAAACACUUUUGGAGAAUUUUGUGUUUACAUUUUGAGGGUUCUUUAUUUUCGGGUUUCGGGGUUUAGGUUUUUAUCUCCAUCUUUUGUACUAUUUGUUCUUUUACCAUUAUAGUAAAAUUAUUUUUACCGGUGGUUUUUAUCAUUUUUGAAGGAGUUUUUUCAUGUUAAAUUUGUGUGUUCAAUUUCUCAAUUUCUUCUACUAUUUUUUAAUUGUUCGUUGCUUAAUUGGGUCGAUCCUCAAUAAGUGGUAUUAGAGCUAGUUCAAUUUUCGUAGAUCAGCUCGUUUGGAGAUGGAAAUAACAAUGUUUAACAUUGAGAAGUUCGAUGGGUCACAAAAUCUGUGGCAAGUUCGAAUGAUGACAAAUCUAGUUCAGACCGGCCUAAAAAAGGUCAUUACCAGAAAAAAGCCUGAGAAUCUAGAUUAGACAGAAUGGGAAACACUUGAUGAAAAUGCCCUAUUUGCAACACAGUUGUGCCUCGCGAAUAGGGUAUUGCAGGAGGUAUUGAUGGAGAAAACUUCAUCCGCCUUAUGGAAAAGGUCAAAAACUCUUUAUGCAACUAAAUUUUUGGCUAACCGUUUAGUGUUGAAACAACGUCUAUUUACGUUUCGCAUGUACGAAGGUGAGUUUCUUAGAGAUCACAUUAGUCAAUUUAUUAAUCUUUUGAAUGAUUUAAAAAAUAUUGAGGUUAAGAUUGACAAUGAGGAUUAGAUUAUGCUAUUAUUGUGUUCUUUAUCCUCUUCAUACAAGUUUUCCAGAGAGACCCUGAUUUAUGAUGGAGACAAACUCUCAUUCGAGGAUGUGAAUGGUCAUUUGUUGAGGAAAAACAAACUCGACAAUGAGUUUGGCUCGGAUCGCAAGGCAGAUAAGCAAGCUUUCAUUUUGGUAUCAUCAAAUAAGCGAGACAAAAUGUGUCGCUAUUGUAAAAAGUUAGGUCACAUCAAAGCAGAUUGUCAUAAAUUGUGAAAUAAAAGGGCUGCUGAAAGUAACGAGGAAAAUGUAGCUAGUGCUAAUUUAGCUGACGAAAGUGGUGAUGAUUUAUUGUUAGUGUCAACGAGCAAUAGCUCCAAGCUUACGUCCAACUGGAUCCUAGAUUCGGAAUGUUCUUUCCACAUGUGUCCCAACAGAUAAUGGUUCUCUCUAUACAGUUCGAUUGAAGGUGGAGUUAUGCGCAUGAGAAAUGAUUCAUCCAGUAAGGUAAUCGGUAUUAGUACUGUUAAAAUUAGGAUGCACGAUGGGACGAUUAGGACACUCUCAAACGUCAGGUAUGUAUUUGGUUUACGAAAUAAUCUCAUUUUCUUAAGUAUUUUAGACUCGAAAGGUUGCACAAUCAACAUCGAGUCGAGUGGCAUUAAGGUGUCUCAUGGGAUCUUAUUUUGUUAAAAGGUAAAAAGACCGACAGUCUUUAUAUUCUGGAAGGUUCUACAGUGACCGAUGAAACCAGACGUCCCUCGUCCGUUACAGUGUCGAAGUCAACUCGUUUGGAGCAGAGACAACUUGGUCAUAGGAGAGAAAAAUGCAUGACCGUUUCGUUGAAGAGAGGUUCUCUUUUGGAUGCAAGUUUUGAAAAGUUAGGGCACUGUGUUUGUGAAAAUCAGACCUGGGUUAGUUUUGAUUUGGCAGUGCACAAGUCGAAGGCUAGAAGUCUUCCAGCUUCUAAGCACAAAUUUGACUCAGUUAAUUCUCUGCAUAGUUCAAGAUAAGCCCAUGGCGGGAUUUGGCAAAGAUGGCAUUGUGGAAAUACGAGUCAAUGUGGAGAUUUGUUGAGUAUGCCUCAUAUUUCAAUUAAAUUUGAAAGAUAUUCUCUCAGUUAAACUUUGUUUAUUUGUUUCAGUCGAACUCUGAUUAGUUUAGAUUAUUUUAUUAUUAUUUGACCUACGAAUUUAGCAUAUAAAUAGGCUCUUUUACAAUAUUAGAAAAUACACCUAUUAAAUAUUAGAACUCAUAACACUUUUGGAGAAUUUUAUAUUUACAUUUUGAGGAUUCUUUGUUUUUUGGUUUCGGACUUUAGUUUUUUAUCUUCAUCUUUUGUACUAUUCGUUCUUUUGUCAUUAUAGUAAAAUUAUUUUUGCUCGUGAUUUUUUAUCCUCUUUGAAGGGGUUUUUCACGUUAAAUUUGUGUUUAAUUUCUCAAUUUCUUUCGCUAUUUUUUUACUUAUUCGUUGCUUAAUCAGGUCGAUCCCCAACAUAUUUUAUUUAAACUUAAAAUGAUUUAAAUUAUUUUAUGUAAAUUUUUAGUUCUAAAUUAGUUCUCCUCAUGUCAAGUGUUACCAUUAAUUGGUUGAGAUAUUAGUAAAUUGAGUUUAAUAAUAGUGUGUUUCCCAUUAGUUGUAUAUAAAUUUUUUUUAUGUAAAUUAAAUUUGUUAACAAUAAUAUAAUUAAAAUUUUAUAUUUAUCAUUUAAUCUAAUAAAUGAUUCACAUGAUAAAUUUCUCUUCUAAUUGUUAUGUUUAAUGCUUUAGUCGUAUUGUAAUAGUUGUUGAUUGAUUUUUUUUAAAAUUGCAUUUUUUUAUUGUAUAAAAAUAAAUUAAUAUAUUUUAAUUAAUCAAUACAAUCAAUUCAUACAAUGCAAGGGUAUAUAAACUAAUAUAUUAUAUACGAGGUAUACACACAUUUAUGAAUGUUUUCUUAUGUGAAUCAGGGGCGUAGUUAAAAGGGUUGAUAAUGACCCCGUCCCAUCCCCAAAAAAAAAUAGAAAAAUUUUCAUCUAGGUUUUUAAAUUUCUUUUAAAAUUUUAAAUUGAUAAAGGUAAAAUUGUAUUUUGGCCUCCUAAAAAUGAUAAAAAUUUGAUUUAAUCUUUUAAAAGUUAUAAAGAUAUAGGCUAUUCAAAUAAUAAAAUUACAUUUUUGAUAUCGUAAAAAUUAAAAUUUAAUUUUGACUCCCUCUAAAAUUUUUUUUCUACCUUUACCCUUGAUAUGGAGUAUUUCAUAUUAGGGUAAGUGACACAUUUUAUGAUUGACUAGUAAACAUUUUGACUAUAAGUAUGAUAUGAGUCCCAAUUUUUUAAUUGAUUUUUUGUUAAAAAAGAUUUUUUUAUUAAUAUAUUAUGUGAAAGUUAUUCAAUUUACACUUUUUAACUUUUACAUUUAAAAAAUUAUUCAAUGUGUAACUGUGAAUAUCAAAAUUAAAAUAAAUUUGAUAAAAACUACUUAAAAUAAAAAAAAGAGUUAAAAAUAAAUUUUGAUACUUCUUUAACAUAUAUAAAAUGUGCAAUAUUUAAAAUUUUAUUGUAUACAUGCAAUAAUCCUAUACAAUGCACGAGUAAAAAAAAUACAUAUUAUAUAUAUAUUUUUUAUUCUUAUCAUGAGUGUAUUAUAAUUUUAUAUUUUUUAUGAAAAAAAAUCAUCUAUUAGUUGGAGACGCAUAUUUUUCCACAUAUGGUACUUGAAUUGCUACCCCAAGUUUGAUGUUGUUCGAACGUGUUCCAUCAAACUCUAUGUUUUCCACACUUAGAUCUUUGAAUGUUGCUAUCUAUCUUAAAAAAAUUUAUAAAAAAAAAAAAACUAUUCAACCUCAAUAUUCCACCAAAAUUCGAACAUAAAUAAAAAAAAAUUCUAAAAUUAUACUCAAUUAAAUUACCAUCUUUUUAUUAAAUUAUGCACCUUGUUUAUUCCUCCUUCUUUUUCUGUCUUAUCUUGGAAUAUAUGUUUUAAUUUCAUUGUCGGCUAUUUUUAUGUUUUACUUGAUGAAAGAACAGAAAAAUAGGAAGAUAAAGAGAUGUGCGCCAUUUUUCUUUCUAUCGAUAUGUUCGGUAAAAGGAUGAAAAUAUUGAAAGAAUAUAAAAAGGUUAGAGUAUGAUAAAAUAUUAAAAGAAAUGGGACACACGAAAAUUUCUUAACUCUACUUACAAUUUUGUCCUUUUCUUAUUACUUAAAUUUGAAAUUAUUUAUUUUUAUGCAUUAAGAUAAAAAAUAACGAUAUUUGUUUUAUUUUUCCUCUUAUUUUUCAAUCCUAAUAAACACAUUCAAAAUGAUUUUCUUUUCAUUCUUUCAAUUUUCCUUUUUCCUUUUAUUAGGGAAGCCUCUGUAGUUAGGGAAAUUUUGCAUUUCAGUCUCUCUAUAAAAAAAUAGGUAAAUUAAUCAUUAUACAUUUCCAAACGUACAAAUUAGUCCAUCCAUUAAAUGAUGAUGUGGAAUGUUUGUAAUGGCUUAAAGAUUAAACCUUCUUAGGGUAUUAAACAAUAAGAUCUUCAAAUGAGAAAAUUUGUAAUAGUUAAGAGGAUGCGAAAAUGAAUAAUCAAAAUUUUAUAAUGAUGAUUACACACCAUCAAAAAAUACGAAAGUGAGUAUUCACUAAAGUAGAAAAAAGUAAACAUUAAAUAAUAUUUUAUGUACCUUUUAGUUGAAAGCAUGAAAAAUUUGAAAGUGACUAAACAAAACUUUUAGUCGAUCUGUUUUUUUGCUUCAAUCAAGUUUUUUUUUUUUUUUGGUUUCAAUCAAGUAUGAGAAAUCAUUUUGAUUUUUCUGGGUUUUGUAAAAUAAGGAAGAAAAUCUUGUAAAAGAGUGUGGUUUUUGAGUUUCGAUUCAAAAGUUUGAUGAAUUUUUUAAUAUUUUCUUAAAAAUAUUUUAGAAUUUUUUACAUAUACAUUUUGAAAUUUUAGAAAAUUUUUAUUUAUAAUUUUAUUUUUAAAAAUAUUUUAACAUAAUUUUAAUAUUUUAAGUAUUUUAUAUUUAUUUUUAAUUUUUUAGAAUUAUUAUUAAGAAAUAUUUUAAAAAAUUAAAAUAAUAUUUUAGUUAUAAUUUAGAGACGAAUUAAUAAUUAAUCAUUUAAAUUAACUUAAUUCCACAUCAUUAUUUAACAGAAAAAUAAUUAUAAUAUUAGUUGAAUUGAGUGAUAAAAAUUUUGAUAUAUUUUAAGUAGAAAAUAAUGAUACAGAUAUAAUUUUUCUCCAUAUUUAAUUAAACUUUUUGUGGCUUUCGGAUACCAAAAUUAAAAACAAAAAAGAAAAACUAUCUCACUUGAAAACUGGGACUGUUAAAUGAUGCAGACAAUCAUUCAAUCUCUAUAUGAACAAAAAAAAAAAAAAGGAAAAAUCCAACCUACUAAUAUUUAAUUGAAGAGAUUCUAGUGUUUAAUCAAGCUCAAAACAUAGCAACAAAGCUUGAAAGAUCAAACCUUCUUUUUUCUUCUUUUGGAUUGCCUUUGAUUAAGAGUUGGAAUUAAAUAAGGAAAAAGCACAAAAAUCCAAGAUGAUCAUUCUGAAAAUGCAGCAUGUACAGACACAUCAACAAUGAUCACAACUCAAAAGUGAGAAGUGUGGAUCCAAAUUUUGGAUUCCUUUUUCGCACGUCCACCUGUCCCCCAUCUCUUAGAUCGGAAUCAUAAUCCACUCCCAUCACUUUUUCAUAUGCCUUUAUGAUCAAAUUUUAAUAAUACUAAUGGAAUAUAUAAAAUAAAAUUUAAUAUGAUAUUUGAUAUCAAAUAAUAUUUAAAUAUAUAAAAAAAUUGAUUAAAGGUUUUUGUGCUAUGUGUUUUCUUUAUUAUUAUUAUUAUUAUUAUUAUUAUUAUUUACUCUUUAUUUUUAAAAUAUGUAUUUUUAAUCAUGAGAUCGUUUUUUCAUGACAAUUUUGUCAAAUAAUUUGACCUUAUUUGUUUUUUAAAAAUGUAAUGAUGUGGCACAUACCCUUUUCUAAUUCUUUUAUGUUGUUAAACAUAUAUCUUCUCUCAAUGUUGUAAAAAUUAGUUAGUGAUUUUAGUUUUGAGUUCAAUCGGUUCAAUCAUAUAAAAUAAAAUUUUUAAAAAAAUCAUAAAAAUAGAAAACAUAGAUAGAAAUAUAAAUGUUUAUUUUAUAAAUUAUAAAAACCAAAUCAAAUAUUUAAAUCAACUUAAAUUCGGUUAAAGAUAUUUAAUAUUUUUGCCUUAUUUUAUAGUAUCAAUUGAACAUGUUGAACUACCAAUUUUUAAUUCAACCAACUAAUCCGGUCUAAUUCUGAUAAUAAUGCACAUUUUUUUCGCACCUCUUUUUAAUUUAUUUAGAUGUGUAAAAAAGAAAAAAGAAUUAUGCAGUCGUACAAAAAAAAGUCUAAGUGCAUAUACCAAUCUAUUACAUGUUAAAAAAAACCAAGUCGAUUGAGUCUUAAUUCGAUUUGUGUCAGUAUUGUUGCCAAUAUAAAAUGAUAUGAAUUAGAGUGUAUUGAAUCACAUUAUCCUUUCAUUUAAGGGUUGACCGUUGGGGAAGGGCUAUGAAUAGUUCUAAGCAUUGUAUUAAAAAAAUAGAUAUGAUAAAAACUAAUAUGAAAUUAAUGUUUAAAAAAAACAUAUCAAUUUUUUGACAAAAUUAACUAAAAAAAUCUUAUAAAGUAAAAAUACAAUUUGAAAAGAUAAAGAUAAAAAUAAAAAUAAUUAAAUUAUAAUAAAAUAAUAAUAAAUUCACUUAAAGCACAUAUUUAAUCUAAAACAAGAUUUAUAAUGGAAGAAGAAAACAAAAGAAAUAGGUGGAGUCGACCUGGCUAAUGCCUUAUUGAUUGUGAAAUGAUUCAUGGGUCCAUUUAUUAUUGAUACCAUGUAUAAAAUUAUAAAAUAUAGACAAUAAUUGAAGUGCAUGUUGUGUCAUAAAGUUAUAACCCAUCACUUGUUGCUUAGAUCUUAUUUGUUUAUCAAAUUAUUUUUCCUACUCACCAACCCACUUGAUUUUUACAACUUUGACCACCCCAUUCAUCCCUCCACUUUCCCAACUUCCUUUUUCUUUGUAUUUUUUGGAUAAGAAACUUUCCCAACUUUCACUUUUACUUUGCCCUAUCCCCCCCCCUUCCUUUAGCAUUUAUUUAAAGCUGCUUUAAUCAAUUAUUCAAAAGUACCACAAGAUUUAUCUUGUUGAAGAACUCCCAAUGGCCAAUACCUCAUUAGGUGGCACAUCGAAAAUUUGUAAGCUUGACUUCCAAGUUCGGCAGAGCUUAGCCAAAAGGUCCACAAUUAAAUUUCUCUCUCUGGGCACAUAUCUGACCUGCCACUGUCCUUCAGAACGCAUAAUCUUUUGAGCUCGUUUAAGUACUGUGAUACUUGAAUCUUCCAACCCUUAUCAAUCAAGGCUUUAGUCACAUUUGAAUUAUCUAUCUGAACUGUGGCCCGUUUGUAACUUCUAUUUAACAGAAUGAGGAUCCCAUCCAGUAUACCCCAUAAUUUCGCCUCGAAAAGAGUAUAACUAUCCAGAUAGUGAUUAUAUCUCAAAAUCUAGUUGCGUGCCUCACAAAAUAAAAUAUUAAUCAUGAUAAUUUUGAAGGUUGAAAUUUGGUUGAUAUAGUCGUUUAUGAAUUAUUAUUAAUCCAACAUUCUUCACCCUUUAAUUUUAGUGAUCUUAUCUCUUAAAACAUCAUUAUCUAUGGGUUAGAUCCAUUUUAUUAGAAUACAUAAUGAAGAAAUUUGUACAUCGAUUAUGUUAGAUUUGACCAAGAAAAUGGUGUAAAGGUACAACUUGUUACAAUAAAUGUAUAGUAAUAAUUGUCACUAUCUAGGCUUAACUAUUCCAUUCAGAUUCUUAUAGUCCACUACUGCUUCGUCAACAUUCAAUCUUUCAACAUGUUUUUGAAAAUGACCUGCAAACUACAAAUUAAUCCUCCCAUCCCAAUCUCUCUCCUCUCAUUAGUUAUUUAUAAUAAUUUCUACAUGCAUCCAUUAAAUAUUUACAAGUUUAUUGUAUAAUGUCAUAUUGCAUUUUUAAGUUGAAUAUAUAAAGAAAAAUGGUGAUUUCAAAAUAUUAGAAUAGGACGAGGUAAGUAAAUAUCAUAAUUGCUCUGUAUCUGUCAUUUAAAAAAAUGUCUCUAUUAUUCAAAAUUUUUUCCCUUCAUUCGGAGUAAAUCAAUUUGAAAUUCAUCAAAUUUUAUCAUCCAUCAAUAUUCAAGCAUAUAGUUGGAUAGAAGGAACUAUGUUAGUACUAGUUAUAAUCGUCAACUUCAACAACAGUUGGCAGAACAUUAUAACUUGCAUUAUUUGAUUGACAUGUUUUUGACCAAAUAUGUUGGAUCUUUAAUCUUUUAUCUUUAUGUGCAAAAAUCAAGCCAAGCAAUGAUUUUGUUCAAUCUUUCGAUACAAUUGAAAAUACCUUAAUUAUAAUAUAUGGCUUUCAGUGAGUUUGAUGACAAGAUCUCUGACGAAUAUACAAUUUAUAGAAAUCUUUUUUAAGUGACUAUUUUAGUGGAAGUAGUGAUUGAUAUUGAUUGUAAUUGAACAAGUCUUUUUUUUUUUGUAUGUACAAUGAAUGACUUAUUUAUGUUAAGAUGUAUGAAUUAGAGAACACUUUAUCUGUUUAAUUAAUAACUGUUUCAAUGGGAGAAAUUGUGAGUAAACAAAAUUGUGCUUAUCAGUUUACAUCUAGCUUUUCGUGGGGGGGGGGGGACUUUGAGAGAAAGUGAUCUAGUUGUAACUUGACUAGUGAAUUGAACUUUAAUCACAAUUUAUGCUUGUGAUUGUUCUCUAGGUAAGACCCUGCAAACAUAUAAAUAAGAAAUAUGUUAAUUUUUUUUCCAUUAUGUUAAAGUUAAAAUGCUAUUUCAUCAAAAUUCAGUUUAUGUCAAGUUGUAUGAUAUUUUAGGUUGGAAUUUAUGAAGAUGCACUUUAGUGUGAUAAAACCAUAAAAAUAUAAUUUCAAAUUAUGUUAUUAUUAUACAACCCAGUGAAUUAAAUCAAAUUAUGACAUGCAAAAUUUAAUCUUUUUUUAAAAAUUAUAAAAAUUUUAGAUUGAAAAUUUUAAAAUCUCAUAUGGAUGUUUAAACUCAUCAAACCUUAAUAUUGAUCUUAAAUUCAAUUCUAAAAUCAUGAAUCUCUCUGACCCAUUAUUCUAAUUUCAAAAUUGGGACCAUGAUCCCCCUACAAGUAAGCAGAAAUCUAUGAACUUUUGGGUGCUUCAGUUAAUAGAACUACCUACUCGUAUAAUUAUGAUCACUUUUGAAAUUAUCUUCUGUGAGUUUUUCUUCUUCCUAAAGAUUAACAAGGAUCAAACUUGCCACUGAAAUUUUAACUGGAUUAGUAAAGAUUGGAGUUUUAUCAUAUGUAUAAAUUAUUGUAAAAUUUAGGUUUUGCUAUGUGGGAUCAUGUUCAUAUAUAUUUUAAUUUUCAAUCAGUAUAAUUUAUUUAAUUUGUAAUUUUGAUUUUAAACUCUUGAAGAAAAGAAUAAAUAAGAUUAGGAGAUCCAUCCGGGCUUAAAUCUUGAAACCCAAAAUAUUUGGGCUGAAAUUAAUUUGAUCCGAGCGUAGCUGAGAUUAACCCACCAACUAGCAGAUAGGCCAUAGCUCCUUUUACGCUUCUUUCGAGCCCAUUAGAAUCACUGUCGAGGACAUGGGCCUAGAGCUUCUCGAAACAUACCAUUUGCUUCAGUUUCCCUUUAUGAAAGUUUGUAAUAAAUUGUUGGCUAAGUUGAUAUGAAUUGAGACAAGCAGAAAUACUUGUCAUCAAAUAUCAAAUUACAAAGUAAUCAAAACUUGCAAAUCCCAGAAUUGAUCACACUUAUUCAACUAAACAUUUAUCACUUCAAUUACUGACAAAAGUACUACUGACAAAAGUAAUUGAUGGCAGACUCGAUUUCUGCUAUAGCACGAAAUACUAUACUGAUAAAAUGAUUGAAAAAAAAAUUCCAGGACAUUCCCAGCCUUUUAUUAUCAUCCCAAUCACGUUGCUGCUCUCUCUUGGUCUUUCUGCAAACCCCAUUUCCUUACAGCAAGCUGAAACUCGGCCGAGGCAGCUAGGAACUUCACUGUCUGGACUGGACUCAGUGUCUGAAGCAACUUCCUAACAGUCGAUCCUCGUAGUUUAUCGGCGCUCUCCAGUGCCCUUAGCAUAUCCUCCUUCAGCUUCCUCACUGCCGACUCAAGUUCCAAUUCCUCGCCAUCAACCGCUCUCCCACAACGCCUAACCAGGUUCAGCAGCGGAAGGGCUGCCAAGCUCUCUUGAAUCGCCGCCGAUGCCUGCGUCAACUCUCGUUCUUCCUUUCUUGUCUCGCAUUUAACUCGCUCGAUGGCUUGUUCCUGUUCUAGGGUAAACUCUGUUACUGAGUUGGUCAGUAUUUUGAACAGUAUGAAUGGCUUGAAUCCACCAACCCAGAGUUGAGCUUUCUCGAAAGAUGUUAACCAUGGGGGAGAGUAGAAGAGGAGCACUUGUUCCCUCGCUGCCUUGAAUUUCUCUGCUGAGUACUGGUCGUAGUGGGACAGCACUUCUUGAAUCAAAUCCCCACGCCGCUCAAUUUCCUCUUCAUCUUGGGAUCUCAGUGCUUGAACCAGUUGUUCAAGGAAUCUUUCUUGACGGACCAGCCAGCCAUUGAAGAAAGCUCCAAAAUUCUCAACAAUGCUUGAAGUUGAACCAUUUCCAUCCGCCAUAGCCCGUCAAUAUUUGGCUAAAGCAGUAAUUUAAGUGAAUGUUACAGUGUAAAGAGAGGGGUUUUUUAUAUACAGUUCUAGAAAUACCACUUACCAACUGUCAUUUGAUUUUGCUAGAAUUUUAAAUUAGUUCUCUUUACUUGUUCCUUUCUUCCACGAAGGAGUCAAUGAUCUUUGAAUUUUUCUUAAAGGUUAAGAUUUGCAGAUUAAAAAUAAAAAUAGAAACUUAAAAGAGAAUGAAGCAACAAAGCUUUCAGCUUUUUUAUUUUUUCUUUUCCUUACAUGCAAAGGUGUUGGAAUUAUGUUGAUUUUGUGAGAAUGACAUUUUGCUUAAUAUCAAAGGAGCAAAAAGAAAAAAAAAAAGAAAAAAACAAUAGACAAAAUGGUAUGGCGGUGAAGGCUUUCUGCAAAUAUCCAGAUAGACAGAACCCAUUGUUUUAAAAAAAAAAAAAAUCAAAACAACAACAUCAUCAUUAUCAUGUUUGUGGAACAUUGGAGAAUUUAAAAGAAGUCAACUAAGACGCGGGUUUGACGCCGAACAGGUUGUUUAUAGAGUAUCAUGUCAAUCUUAUUAAAUGCAUUGCAGCCCUUACGAACACUAGAUUACAAGAGUGGCCUUUUUCCAGGAAAUGGGCUUUGUUUAUUCAUAUGAAGAGCAAAGGGCUUUGUGUUGGCCCAGAGAAGGAAAUGUCAGGGCCAGAGUAGCCUACGAUGAUUUUCUCUUUUGUUUUGUGAUGGCAAAUAAAACAUUUGGCGCGCAGAAAAACAUGGAGUUUCAUUGUGACGGGAAAACCCGCCGACUCAUAUGAAAAGGAUUUAACAUUUUGUGCCGCCUUGGUACGUAUUUAACAUGGGCAGCUUACCUUAUCUGUGUUUGUUGUCUUAAAGUGUAACUGAGAAUGUGGGAGGCUUUUGUCGUCCAACGUCUACGAGGUUAGCUCAGCGGCCAUCAUUUUGCUUAAAGCUUGGUUACUUGAUUUUUCUCUACCCAUCUUUUUCUUUUAUAAAUUACGUCUUAUGAUAUCUUAUCCUAGGUGGUGUUGCCAUAAUUUAUAGGCUUCUGGGAGGAGGAAAUGAUGCAAGUAAUUUCCAAAAUUAUAAUUUUAGAGAAAAGAAGAACACGAAAAACACCAGAUAGGGAGAACAAUCUGGAUAGCUUACCAUCUAGUUUUCUCUCUAUUUCAUUUGGAAAUGUCUAUUAUAUUACAAAGGAAAUAACACUUACACCAACUUCGGUUAGGUACAAUAUCCACCCUUAUACGUUAAUGCUACGUUUGAUUAGAAAAGAAAACACUUAUUUAAUAUAUCUCUUGAAAUAGCUAGACAUAAAAUAAAAAGUAAUUAGUACAAAUUUAAAUAUGCAAUUAGAAAUAUGAGUACAUUUUUUUUUGUAAAAGGACCUAUUCAAAAUAAGCGACAAAUUUUCCUUUUCUUUGCCACAAAUAAGUCAUGUUAGUGGCUAACAAUUACCGGUUGCGAGUAGCAUAUAGCUAAUUAAUGACUAAAACAUGCGGAAAAAAUAAUACUCCAAUAAAACAUAACAUUACAGUUCAUAUAAUAUUCUUUACAUCAUAUAAAAUAAUAGGCUAAUUAUGCAACACCGUUACAACAAUUCAAGGUAAUGAGUAUUAGAAUCAAAGAAUUGAAGAAUACUCCUGCAACAAAUACUCCCUUCAUCUCAAGGAUGAACUCGAGGAAAUUUUUGUUCAGGCUCAUGCAAAGUCUUUUACGUAGAAUCCUCAAGAAACGUGUUAGUCCAUUGCGCCAACAUUUGUGUGAUCGCACUAUUACCUUUUUUGACAAUUCUCUUAUUCAAAAUCUUGUCAAAUUUUUUCACCAUUGUUCCAUUUGCCCCCCCUAAACAUGUACGGUUGCUUGUAUCAGUGCUUUGCCCACUUGCUUCUUAAAGUGCAACAUGUGGAAAGUAAGGUUUACCUUUCACCUAAGUGGUAGCAACAACUUAUAUGCCCCCUUUCCCAUCUUAGGUGCAACAUAGAAUUGUUCAUAAUACUCAACAAUUAGCUUCUGAAAGAUUCAUGUUUCACUGAAUUUUGCUUAUAUGGUUAUAAUUUCAAAUUAAUCAGAUUUCCUGCCUCAAACUCUCUCUCAAUUCUCUUCUUAUCAAUCAUUACUUCCAUUUUCUUGAGUUCUUUGCAAAUGGAAUAUCAAGUCUAGUUAGCAACUUCCCUCUGUUGCAUGCUUCUAUCUACUAAAUCCACAACUAACUAUCCUACCAUAUAAGGUAAAUGGAUGAGUGGUGCUUAGCCAUAAAGACCCUGGUAAGGAGUAGUGUGAACAUAUGAAUGGUAGGAAGUGUUGUAACAUCAUUUAACUAGAGCCAAACCAAUAACUCCAAUCAUUGGGCUUUUCACAAAUCAUGUAACAUAGAUAUCCCUCCAAACAAUGCUUAACUGCAUCUAUCUGACCAGUUGUCUAUGGAUGAUAAGCUAUUGAAAGUUCUGCAAGUUCCUAGCCUUUUAAAAAGUUAUUUUAGAAGGAAUUUAUAAAAACUCUAUCUUUGUUUGUGGCAAUGUUAUCAAGCAUACAAUGUAACCUUAAAAAAUGGGAAAAAGAUUUUGGUGCAACAACCAAACCAAAGAAAGGGUAACAUACUUAGCUUAUCGCUACCAUAAAAAAUGUGUCUUUACCUUUAGAAUUAAGAAUACCUUCUAAAAAACCAUACUAAUCUCAACCCAAGCCCUUGUUGGAAUAGGUUAGAGUUGUAGUAAACCUACCUUAGUUGUAUUGUCAGUCUUACACCUUUAACACUCCAUACAUUCUCUUUCUCAGUGGCUCACAACCUUCUACAAACUUUUUUUAAUAUAAUACACCAACUAAUUUACCGGCAGUCACUUGAGCACUUGAAUGCCUCCAUCAGAUUAUUAUGGAAAUAUUUCAAGAUUUCUUUUUGAAGUGCAAGUUCAUUACCCACCAGAAUCUUACCCUUUAAUUUCUCUCCAACUACUUGCCAUCCCAUAAUAUAUAGGAUGCAAUGCAAUAUUCUCUUCAAGCUCAACUAUUAAUUUUUGAAGCAUAAAACCCUUAUGCUAAGAUGCACUAAUUUUAGCCAUUAGAUUGAUGGUCAUUGUAAACAUUUGAAGACGUUGUGGAUUGCUAAAAUUAGGAUUCCCUAAAAGCACACAAGCCAUUAUAUUACUGGCUUCUUUCUUAUAAAUUAUUUCAAAACAAUAUUCUAGCAUUUUAGUCACUCAUAACUAAUAUAGAGUAGUGGCCUAAAUGUUGGAUAAAAAAUACAAAGUCUUAUGAUAAAUUCUAAUUUUUUUCAUGUGUCCACUUACCAAAUAAAGGCUCCAUUUCUAUGUUGCCAAUUGAACAACUAUCAUUUCUUGAUCAUAAAUGAAUAAGGCUUGGGGCUUAGGGGCCAAAGCCUUACUAAAUAAACUAAGGGCAAUCCUUUUUUAGUAGACUUCUAUCCAUUGCAAAAUAUUCUCAAAGCCUGGUACACUACAACCAAGUGUCUAUAAACAAAGCUAGCUUUAGCACCUUAAAUGCUCGUGUUGCAUUAUCAAUCCACUGCCAUACUUGUUGGUGAAUGGGUGCAUGAGAUGAAAAUAAACUUAUGAAAAAUUAAUUGAAGGGUUCAAGGCGUGUAACCACACUGUUAUUUUUAAGGUUCUAUUCGCCCUUACCUAAACUUUGGUGUGCAAAAGAGUUUAUUGCAAAUGAACCGCAAUGAUAAAAUGAAGCCUAAUGACUUUCGGUGUCUUACGCUGUAAUAGCCUGAAUUUUUAGUGGUGUCAGAAUGGUGAUUCGAGAUCACUAAAUCUGACAAAUGAGUAGAAAUAUUAUUAAUUUAGUAAGAAUAAGUAAAUGUGAAGUUAGGAAAAUUUUGAAAUAGUGAAUAGUGUAUUAGGAAUAAAUAUUGAAAUAAUUAAAAUAAAAAAUGAGGUCUCGAGACCUCGAAGAUUUUAAACCGAGCCAUAAAUAUUUUUUAGAAAUUUUAUAGAUGUCAUUGAGUUGGUAUUAAAGUUUCGUUAGAAAAUUUUAACGUUCAGAUAGUCAAUUAACUAAAAAGGACUAAAUUGAAAAUAGUGUAAAAUUUGUUAAAUUGUGAUUAAAUAGCUUAAGUGACUAAAAAGGAGGGAUUUAAAAGGCAAUUAGGCCCAAAUUAUAUGGGCUGGACGGUUGAGCAAGAAAAAAAUCUGGAAAAGUGAUGUAAUAAGGGUAAAAUUGGAAAUUUUGUAAAACUGAACAAAUAAAAAUCUCAAUUAAAAGAGUUUCUAGGUAAUUCUUCAUAAUUAUCAGCCAAAAAACGCCAUUGAAGAGUCCCUCCAAGCUGGUUUUUCAUAUAUUUGAAUCAUGUAAGUUUAAUUCUUGAUUAUUUCUACUAGAUUUUGGGGUUUUGAUACUUUUACAAUUAGGUCCAACUAAUUAUUUCAUUAGUUAUUGAUUUUAUGGCUGAUUUUGAAAGUUACCAUUGAUGAGUACUGAAUUUUUAUGAUGAAUAAACAUUGAAUUAAAGCUUUAAUUUUGUUAUAUGAUGAUUCUAUUAAGUAAUUUUGAUAGAAAUUGAUUUUAGGGACCUAAUUGUGAAAAAGUUUGGAAUUAGGGUUUGGUGUUGCGGUUUUGAAUAUUAAAGGAUAUGUAGUAGUCUAAAAUAGUUGGACAAGGUGUCAAUUGAGAAAAAUUAGAUCAAUUGAGGGGUUAAUUGAGUAGGGACCAAAUUGUAAAAACUGUAAAGUUUGGGGUAAAAGUGUAAUUUCGAAAAUUUAAGGGCAUAAAUUGUGAAAUGAAUUAGAAUAGAAUUAUAUGCUGAUGAAUGAAUAAAUUUGUAUUUUAGAUCGAGAACCCGAAGCAAGCCGAGGAAAAGAAAAAGUAGUUGAUUAGUCCCUGAACUUUUACAAAUUUUGCAAAUCGACCCAGGUAAGUUCAUAUGGCUGAAAUUUAAUGAUUAAAUGUUAAUUUCAUGAAUUAUAUAAUGUAUGAUGAAAUGUAUUUAUUGUUGAAAUGAGAGUAAAAUAAAAAUGUGAAAAUCGAAUAAAUGAUCAAAUUAAGCAGAACGCCGGAUUUGAGUACUUCUGAUCAAGAGAUAAAGUGAUAAGUGGUAGCUUUAGCUACACUUAUCUGAUCAAGUGACAAAGUGAUAAGUGCUACACUUAUCUGAUCAAGAGACAAAGUGAUAAGUGGUAGCUUUAACUACACUUAUCUGAUCAAGUGAAAAAGUGAUAAGUGCUAUAAUUAUCCGAUCAAGUGAAAAAGUGAUAAGUGCUAUACUUAUUUGAUCAAGUGACAAAGUGAUAAGUGGUAGCUUAGCUACACUUAUCUGAUCAGGGACAAAUGAUAAGUGAUCAUACAUAAGACUAUAGUUAUACUAUGGCAAAGUGAAAGUGAAGUACUCAAUUUUCCGUAACCGUUCAUUAAUUUUGAUCAAGGAUGGUAAGUGACAAAUGGGCCCAAAGGAAUUAUGGUGAAAGAAUAAGUAGUAGUGAGUUUAUACCAAGGAACUCACCAAAGAUUGUGGUUGACAGGUAAACUUAGUAAUGGUGUAUAUUGUAUAAGUGUAUAAAUGUUUGGUAAGAUUUAUGUUUGUGCCUAUGAACUUACUAAGCUUUCUAUAAGCUUACAUGUGUGUGUUUAUUGUUUUUGUAGAUUAACGUAUUUAUACAUUCGGAGGAUCGGAUCUACAUCGAGAAUCACACUAUCCAGAUUUACUCCGGUAGAUUUUGUUAAACAAGUUUUUGGAUUUUUAUGGCAUGUAUAAGGAAUUGAAGUAAAAAGCAAUAGAAUGAAUGACUAAGUACGCAAAGUAAAUUUGAAUGUGAUGGUUGUGUUAGAUAUUGAAAAAUACAUGUUUUUAGUUUGAAAUGGUUGAUUGGUUGAACUUCAUUAGUAUUCAAGUGAAGUAGUUGAAAUACUGGAAUUGGUUGUGUAACACCCCUUACCCGAGACCGUCGCCGGAAUCGAGUACGAGAUGUUAUCCAAUUUAACUUACCAAUUCGGAGCAUAAAAAAAAAUUGCUUUUAAAAUUAAAUUCACUGUUCACAACAAAACUGUCUACCUGCGUGACUUUCACUAAUUUAAUUAUAACUCGAGUUACAGAACUCAAAAUUUAAAUCCGUAAAUUUUCCCUGAAACUAGACUCAUAUUACUACUUACCAUAAAAUUUUCAGAAUUUUUGACUUGGCCAAUUAGUACAGUUUAUUCAUUAAAGUAUCCCCUGUUUCACAGCUCGACAGAUCUGACCUCUCGGCACUAAAAAUCAAUUAUCUCUUUGUACAGAAUACAUAUAAGGUUAUCGUUUUUUCUUUUGAAAAUAGACUCACUAAGAAAUCUACACAUAUAAAUUAUGACCCAUAAUUCUUUCUGUACAAUUUAUAAUGAUUUUUUCAAAGUCAGAACAGGGGACUUCAAAAACCAUUCUGACCCUAUCUCACUAAAAUUCAAAUAUCUCAAAAUACAGAAUUCCUUUUCCUACAUCGUUUCUUUCAUAUAAAAAUAGACUUGAUAAGAUUUAAUUCCAUAUAUAAUUCACUCUCUAAUUCCAUUUCUACUAUUUAUGGUGAAUUUUUACAUUCACGUCACUGCUGCUGUCAAAGAAACUGCUUCUUUGAAUUAGUUACCAUUUACACAUACAUAAUACCAAAACAUAAUCUUUACUAACCAUUUCAAUAGCUAAUCUUAGCCAUAUCAUUUGAACAUGCUCAAGAUGAUUAAGACUCUAUACAUGCCAUAGUUCAAACAUUUUGAAAAGCACAUAAUACCGAGAUGGCUAUGAUAGUGUGAUACGAGCUCCGACGGUCCACUAUUCGAUCAAGUUCAAAUCACUAUAAAACAAAGGAAAGAAAGAAAUGUGUAAGCUAUAAAUAGCUUAGUAAGUUACAUGUAAACAAUAAUUACUCAUUUAAUAAUUAACACUUUUAACAUAUAACUAAUCAAAACAUUUCUUAGCAAUUUCAAUCACUUACACAUGCACAAUCUUACCAAUUCACUUGCAUAUACAUUUUCACACUUAACAUUUCAUAUUCACUUUAAUUCAUUAUUAAUCCCGUUGAACAGUUAGAAUAUACACGGAUACGUAGAGAUUUAGCACAUAAGUGCCACACUGAUAUGUAGCCGAAGCUACCACUGAUAUGUAGCCGAAGCUACCACUGAAAUGUAGCCGAAGCUACCACUGAUCAAUAACACUGGAAAUGUCCACGGGUCUGCUCACACAAGCUGUCAGGUGUCUGCAACACAUGCUAGAUCACCCAGCACCCGGGACUCACUGUAACACUGUAACACUGUAACACUGGUCUCUAGUGACAUGUCACUUGUAUCCAAUUCUAUUCCUAAGUUCAACCGGGAAUUUACACUUAACACUUUAUUACUUGAAUAAUUCAUGAACAAUUUUCCUUCCACAUUCAAUAUUAAUUCACAUAUCAAAUAUAAUUCACAAUUUAUACAAAUAUAACUAUUAUUUACAUAAAACUUACCUCGGAUGCAAAACGACUAUUUUUUUGUAAUUUAGUCGAUAACUUUCUCUUUUCCCCGAUCACUUCCACUAUUUCUUCUUUCUUGAUCUAUAUUAACACAAUUUAAUACAUUUUAUCAACAUUUCAUUCAAAUACAAUUCAUACACAACAUUUUGGCAAAUUUAUAUUUUUCCCCGAAACUUUUCAAAAAUUCCACUUUUGUCCCUAAGCUCGUAAAAAUAAAAUUCACUAAAAUUUUUAAAUUUCAAACUUCACUAAAUCAUAUUUCAUGCUCAUAACAGCCCUCAAUUUCACAAAAUCACAACUUUAUGCACACUUUACCAUCUUUCACAAUUUAGCCCUUUUUCAACAUUUUCAUCAAAAUUCAUCUAGUAAAACUUGUAAUUAACACUUCAAACAUUCAUUAUCUAACAUCACUAAUCAAUUUACAAUUAUAUCAUGAAUGGGUAAAUUUUUCAAACUUUAAUUUCAUUUAAAUUAAAUAGUAGAAACAUGAAAUUCAAGCUUCAAUAAGCAUAAAAAUACGAAAAUAAUCAAAAACGGGGCAAGAAAUCACUUACAAUUGAGCUUAGGAAGUUCAAGAACCCUAGCUAUGGUGACAUGAAUUUUUUUGGCAGCAAACGUCUGAUUUUAAGAAGAUGAACACUUGUUUUCAUCUUUAUUUUGUCUUUUAUUCAAUUUGGACAAAAAUGCCCUUGACCCAUUACUUAGAUAUUUUUCUAGAAAUACCCUUUUGUGUCCACAACACUAAUUCAUGGUCUAAUUGCCACAUAAACACUUCCAAUUUCAUGCAAUAAUUCAAUUAAGUCAUUUAAUCACUAAUUAGACACACUUUGCAUUUUUCUCGAUUUAGUCCUAAAAAUUCAAUUAAGCACUAAAGUAUUAAAAUUUCCUAUCCAUAUUUUCACACAAUAUUUCAAUCAAUCAGUAACUAAUAAAAAUUUAUAAAAUUAAACUAUUUCACUUCGGAUUUGUGGUUACGAAACCACUAUUCCGAUUAGGCCCUAUUUCGGGCUAUCACAAUUCUCCCCCCCUUAGGGAUUUUCGUCCCCGAAAAUCUUACCAGUGAAUAAGUUGGGAUACUGUUUCCUCAUAGCCUCCUCAGUUUCCCAUGUUGCCUCUUCCACCCCAUGUCGUUGCCAAAACACUUUCACUAAAGCAAUUUCUUUGUUUCUCAACUGUUUCACUUCUCGUGCCAAGAUUCGAAUCGGUUCUUCUUCGUAUGUCAUAUCCGAUCGAAUUUCCACUUCAGUCGGUGAAAUCACAUGUGAUGGGUCCGAUCGAUAUCGCCUCAACAUAGAAACAUGAAACACAUUAUGAAUUCUUUCCAAUUCCGGUGGUAAAGACAAUCGAUAAGCCACUGGACCAAUUCUUUCUAUCACUUCAUACGGACCAAUAAAUCUUGGACUUAAUUUACCUUUACGGCCAAAUCUCAGAAUUUUCUUCCAUGGAGACACUUUCAGAAAUACUUUAUCACCCACUUGAAACUCAAUCUCUUUUCUUUUCAAAUCCGCAUACGACUUCUGUCGAUCCGAUGCAGCUUUCAAACAAUCACGGAUUAUCUUCACUUUUUCUUCAGUUUCUUUUACCAAAUCGACUCCAUGUAACUGAUUUUCAUUAAGUUCAGUCCAAUAUAAUGGAGUCCGACACUUUCGUCCAUACAACGCUUCAUAAGGUGCCAUUUUUAUGCUGGAUUGAUAACUAUUAUUAUAUGCAAACUCCACCAAAGGUAGAUAUCUUUCCCAAUUACCUUCAAAUUCCAAUACACAACAUCUCAACAUAUCUUCGAGCACUUGAAUUACUCUUUCAGACUGUCCAUCGGUUUGGGGGUGAAAUGCUGUACUAAAAUUCAAUUUAGUACCCAAUGCCUCUUGUAAUUUCUUCCAAAACCUUGAAGUAAACCGUGGAUCUCUAUCAGAUAUAAUAGACGCAGGCACACCAUGUAAUCGAACUAUCUCAGCAAUAUACAAUUCAGCUAACUUGUCAAGUGAAAAACUCAUUCGCACAGGAAUGAAAUGAGCUGACUUAGUCAAUCGAUCAACUAUUACCCAAAUUGAGUCUUUCUUUUUCGGUGACAAUGGCAAUCCGGAAACAAAAUCCAUAGUAAUUCUAUCCCACUUCCACUCGGGCACCAUAAUAGGUUGAAGUAACCCUGAAGGUACUUGGUGUUCAGCUUUUACUUGUUGGCACACAAAACACUUUGUCACAUACUCAGAGAUAUCCCGUUUCAUACCCGGCCACCAAUAUAAUUUCUUUAAAUCAUUGUACAUUUUUACACUACCGGGGUGAACUGCCAACCGACUAUCAUGUGCUUCCUGCAAAAUUUUCUGAAUUAAAUCAACAUUUUUCGGAACACAUAUUCUGUCAUGAAACAUUAAACAUCCAUCUGAAUCAAUUCGAAAAUCAGAAUUAUCGUCCACUGCACACUGAGUCUUUUUUCUUUGCAAUUCAUUAUCCACUUUCUGAGCCUCACAAAUUUCUUGAAGAAACAAUGGUCUAACUUUUAACUCUGCAAACAAUGAUCCAUCUUCAGUCAAUGUUAAUCUCGUAUUCAAAGCUCUCAAAGCAAAGAGAGACUUUCUGCUCAAAGCAUUAGCAACUAUAUUGGCUUUUCCCGGAUGAUAAUCUAUUACAAGUUCAUAAUCUUUCAACAAUUCCAACCAUCUUCUUUGCCGCAAAUUCAGAUCUUUUUGUGUCAUAACAUAUUUCAAACUUUUAUGAUCUGUAAAAACACGACAUUUCUCACCAUAUAAAUAAUGACGCCAAAUCUUCAAAGCAAAGACAAUAGCAGCCAACUCUAAAUCAUGGGUAGGAUAAUUUCGUUCAUGCGGUUUCAAUUGUCGAGAAGCAUACGCUAUCACUUUUCCUUCUUGCAUCAAUACACAUCCAAGCCCAUUUAAUGACGCGUCACUAUAAACAACAAAUUCCUUUCCUGACUCAGGUUGCACUAACACUGGUGCCUCAGUUAAACACUUCUUUAAUUUCUCAAAACUUUGUUGACACUCCUCGGUCCAUUCGAACUUAACAUCUUUUUGCAACAAUUUUGUCAUCGGUGAAGCUAUCAUCGAAAAACCUUCUACAAAUCGACGAUAAUAUCCGGCUAAGCCCAGAAAACUCCUAACUUCAGAUACAUUUCUUGGAGGCUUCCAUUCAACUAUUGCCGAUAUCUUAUUCGGAUCCACUCGAAUGCCAUCUCCCGAGACAACAUGUCCCAAAAAUCCAACUUCACUAAGCCAAAAUUCACUUUUGCUAAAUUUAGCAAACAAUUUCUUUUCUCGCAGCGUUUGUAGCACAAUUCUUAAAUGUUCAGCAUGCUCGACUUCACUUCGGGAAUAAAUAAGAAUAUCAUCUAUAAACACCACAACAAAUUUAUCCAAAUAGGGCCGGAAAAUUCGAUUCAUCAAAUCCAUAAAAAUAGCUGGAGCAUUAGUCAGACCAAAAGGCAUUACAAGAAACUCAUAGUGACCAUACCGGGUUCUGAAAGCAGUCUUUGGCACAUCUGACUCUUUAACCCUCAAUUGGUAAUAUCCGGAUCUCAAAUCAAUUUUGGAAAACACUGUGGCAUCCUUUAACUGAUCAAACAAGUCAUCUAUUCGGGGCAAUGGAUAUUUAUUCUUUACUGUCACUUUAUUAAGUUGACGAUAAUCAAUACACAAUCUCAAUGUCCCAUCCUUUUUCUUCACAAAUAGCACGGGAGCACCCCACGGAGAAUAACUUGGUCUGACGAAUCCUUUAUCCGUCAACUCUUGCAAUUGCACUUUUAAUUCUUUUAAUUCAGUUGGUGCCAUUCUGUAAGGAGCAAUCGAUAUUGGAGCAGUACCUGGCAUUACUUCAAUACCAAACUCUACUUCUCUAAUCGGAGGCAAACCUGGCAACUCUUCUGGGAACACAUCUAAAUAUUCACAUACCACUGGCACUGAUUCGAUCUUUGUUUCAGACACUUUUGUAUUCAACACAUAAGCAAGAUAUGCUUCACAACCAUUUUUCAAACAUUUCUGAGCAGACAUGGCAGAAAUCACAAUUGGCAUCACAUUUGACUUAUCUGUUUCAACCCGAAGAACUGUACCACUACCACACUUCAACUCAAGAAUUUUCUGACUGCAAUCUAUCUUGGCCUUAUGUAAUGUCAACCAAUCCAUUCCCAAAAUAACAUCAAAUUCAUCAAAUGGCAACAACAUCAAGUUGGCAGGGAAACACUGACCUUGUAUCAUCAAAGGACAAUUUUUGCAUAUUUUAUCAACUAUCACAUGCUUGCCUAAAGGAUUCGACACUUUAAUCACAUACUCAGUCAAUUCAACACACAAAUUUUUAUCAGACACUAAAUUCCUACAUACAUACGAGUGAGUAGAACCAGGAUCAAUCAAUGCAAGAACAUUAGUGUCGUAAAGAGAAAAUAUACCAGUGAUCACAUCGGGGGAAGAUGUUUCCUCUCUAGCUCGGAUGGCAUAAGCUCUUGCUGGGGCUCCCACUUCAGAUCUUACAGUCGUGUCUUUUGUUACACCUUUACCACUAGUUCCAGUCCCCACAUUUCUCGAUGGUCUUCCUCUAGUAGUCACACUGCUCGAUCUCACAUUUUGAAACUUUUCUAUCUCUUCUCUUUCUGGACAAUCUUUCACAAAAUGAUCUUGAGAUCCACAUUUAAAACAUGCUCGGCUGAUUAAAUAACAUUCCCCUAAAUGUCGUUUUCCACAAUGUUGACAUUCCGGUCUAGUAGGUUUAACACUACCUACACUUGCCAUAGAAGUCGCCUGAGCUUUAGAACUUGAAUAUUGUCUUCCUCGAUCUCUUUGAAAAUUUACACUAGAAACAUUCGAUCGACUAUUCAUUUCUUUAAACUUCUUCGCUUGAGACUGAAAUGGCUUGCCCAUUGAUCUUUUUCUUGCAUCUCUAACUUCACUUUCCACCUUUCUUUUCUCUUUGCUCAAUUCUUUAGCCUUGAUAGCUCUUUCAACUAGUACCACUAGCUCUUUAAUUUCAAGAAUUCCCACUAGCAAUCGGAUAUCCUCGUUUAAUCCAUCUUCAAACCUUUUGCACAAUGUAGCUUCAUUAGAUACACACUCUUGGGCAUACUUGCUUAAUUUGACAAAUUCUCGUUCAUAUUCGGCUACCGUCAUGCGCCCUUGUUUCAAUUCAAGAAACUCUUUUCUCUUUUGAUCAAUGAAACGCUGACUCACAUACUUCUUUCGGAAUUCUUCUUGAAAGAAAUCCCAUGUAACUUUCUCUUUAGGCACCACUGACACUAAAGUUUUCCACCAAUUAUAAGCUAAAUCCCUCAACAAUGAGAUAGCACAUUUGAGACUCUCUUCUGGAGUACAAGAUAAUUCAUCCAACACUCUGAUGGUAUUAUCAAGCCAGAACUCUGCUCUUUCAGGAUCAUCAUUUACAUUAGCUCGGAACUCUUCGGCUCCAUACUUUCGAAUUUUGUCCACUGGAGGCUUUGACAAUCUUAACACUUCAGUUUGUUGAGGAGCUAUGGGAACAGCUUGAGGAAUAGGAGGGGGCGGAGGAGGUUGAGCAUUAGGAUUAGUUCUAACAAACUCAGUGUACCAAUUGUUCAUCAUUUGGAGAAAAGCUUCUCGAGCCUCAUCUCCUUGACCCUGAGUCUCAAAUCGACUUUCAACAGGCACAUUACUUUGAGCAUCAUCAGCUGUAUCUCGGUUAGAAUCCAUUACUAUAAAAAAAAACAUUUUAAGAUGUCAGGAGUCGUCACACCAUCAUUAUUCAAUUAUGGCAUGUAUAGAUAGUCUAUUACACUCGCUACGUUAGUCCGAGAAUCGACUAAACCGUAGCUCUGAUACCACUAAAUGUAACACCCCUUACCCGAGACCGUCGCCGGAAUCGAGUACGAGAUGUUAUCCAAUUUAACUUACCAAUUCGGAGCAUAAAAAAAAAUUGCUUUUAAAAUUAAAUUCACUGUUCACAACAAAACUGUCUACCUGCGUGACUUUCACUAAUUUAAUUAUAACUCGAGUUACAGAACUCAAAAUUUAAAUCCGUAAAUUUUCCCUGAAACUAGACUCAUAUUACUACUUACCAUAAAAUUUUCAGAAUUUUUGACUUGGCCAAUUAGUACAGUUUAUUCAUUAAAGUAUCCCCUGUUUCACAGCUCGACAGAUCUGACCUCUCGGCACUAAAAAUCAAUUAUCUCUUUGUACAGAAUACAUAUAAGGUUAUCGUUUUUUUCUUUUGAAAAUAGACUCACUAAGAAAUCUACACAUAUAAAUUAUGACCCAUAAUUCUUUCUGUACAAUUUAUAAUGAUUUUUUCAAAGUCAGAACAGGGGACUUCAAAAACCAUUCUGACCCUAUCUCACUAAAAUUCAAAUAUCUCAAAAUACAGAAUUCCUUUUCCUACAUCGUUUCUUUCAUAUAAAAAUAGACUUGAUAAGAUUUAAUUCCAUAUAUAAUUCACUCUCUAAUUCCAUUUCUACUAUUUAUGGUGAAUUUUUACAUUCACGUCACUGCUGCUGUCAAAGAAACUGCUUCUUUGAAUUAGUUACCAUUUACACAUACAUAAUACCAAAACAUAAUCUUUACUAACCAUUUCAAUAGCUAAUCUUAGCCAUAUCAUUUGAACAUGCUCAAGAUGAUUAAGACUCUAUACAUGCCAUAGUUCAAACAUUUUGAAAAGCACAUAAUACCGAGAUGGCUAUGAUAGUGUGAUACGAGCUCCGACGGUCCACUAUUCGAUCAAGUUCAAAUCACUAUAAAACAAAGGAAAGAAAGAAAUGUGUAAGCUAUAAAUAGCUUAGUAAGUUACAUGUAAACAAUAAUUACUCAUUUAAUAAUUAACACUUUUAACAUAUAACUAAUCAAAACAUUUCUUAGCAAUUUCAAUCACUUACACAUGCACAAUCUUACCAAUUCACUUGCAUAUACAUUUUCACACUUAACAUUUCAUAUUCACUUUAAUUCAUUAUUAAUCCCGUUGAACAGUUAGAAUAUACACGGAUACGUAGAGAUUUAGCACAUAAGUGCCACACUGAUAUGUAGCCGAAGCUACCACUGAUAUGUAGCCGAAGCUACCACUGAAAUGUAGCCGAAGCUACCACUGAUCAAUAACACUGGAAAUGUCCACGGGUCUGCUCACACAAGCUGUCAGGUGUCUGCAACACAUGCUAGAUCACCCAGCACCCGGGACUCACUGUAACACUGUAACACUGUAACACUGGUCUCUAGUGACAUGUCACUUGUAUCCAAUUCUAUUCCUAAGUUCAACCGGGAAUUUACACUUAACACUUUAUUACUUGAAUAAUUCAUGAACAAUUUUCCUUCCACAUUCAAUAUUAAUUCACAUAUCAAAUAUAAUUCACAAUUUAUACAAAUAUAACUAUUAUUUACAUAUAACUUACCUCGGAUGCAAAACGACUAUUUUUUUGUAAUUUAGUCGAUAACUUUCUCUUUUCCCCGAUCACUUCCACUAUUUCUUCUUUCUUGAUCUAUAUUAACACAAUUUAAUACAUUUUAUCAACAUUUCAUUCAAAUACAAUUCAUACACAACAUUUUGGCAAAUUUAUAUUUUUCCCCGAAACUUUUCAAAAAUUCCACUUUUGUCCCUAAGCUCGUAAAAAUAAAAUUCACUAAAAUUUUUAAAUUUCAAACUUCACUAAAUCAUAUUUCAUGCUCAUAACAGCCCUCAAUUUCACAAAAUCACAACUUUAUGCACACUUUACCAUCUUUCACAAUUUAGCCCUUUUUCAACAUUUUCAUCAAAAUUCAUCUAGUAAAACUUGUAAUUAACACUUCAAACAUUCAUUAUCUAACAUCACUAAUCAAUUUACAAUUAUAUCAUGAAUGGGUAAAUUUUUCAAACUUUAAUUUCAUUUAAAUUAAAUAGUAGAAACAUGAAAUUCAAGCUUCAAUAAGCAUAAAAAUACGAAAAUAAUCAAAAACGGGGCAAGAAAUCACUUACAAUUGAGCUUAGGAAGUUUAAGAACCCUAGCUAUGGUGACAUGAAUUUUUUUUGGCAGCAAACGUCUGAUUUUAAGAAGAUGAACACUUGUUUUCAUCUUUAUUUUGUCUUUUAUUCAAUUUGGACAAAAAUGCCCUUGACCCAUUACUUAGAUAUUUUUCUAGAAAUACCCUUUUGUGUCCACAACACUAAUUCAUGGUCUAAUUGCCACAUAAACACUUCCAAUUUCAUGCAAUAAUUCAAUUAAGUCAUUUAAUCACUAAUUAGACACACUUUGCAUUUUUCUCGAUUUAGUCCUAAAAAUUCAAUUAAGCACUAAAGUAUUAAAAUUUCCUAUCCAUAUUUUCACACAAUAUUUCAAUCAAUCAGUAACUAAUAAAAAUUUAUAAAAUUAAACUAUUUCACUUCGGAUUUGUGGUUACGAAACCACUAUUCCGAUUAGGCCCUAUUUCGGGCUAUCACAGGUUGUGAUUUGAAAUUUGCAGGGAAGGUUAGAUAAAUAUAAAGGGGUUAUAUUGAAUUUUUUUAUAAAUUUCAAUGGAAUAGUUUUUGGACAGCAGCAUUGAUGUAACUUUGAAAAAUCACAAAAAAUAGUGGAAAUAGAAUUAAAAGUUGAAUGAGAUAUGAAAUUAAAUCCGAAUGAAUCUAUUUUCACAUGACAGAAGUAGAAUAAGCAAAAGAGUUAUAUAUUUUUAGAUAAUUGAAUUUUAGUGAAACAGGGCAAGAAUGUUUUUGAAGUCCCAUGUUCUGACUUUAGAAAUUCAUUAAAAAUUGUACCGAAGGAAUUAUGAGUUAUAAUUUAUAUUUAUAGAUUCCUUAAUGAGUCUAUUUUCAGUAGAGAUAAGUAGAAGCACCAUAUGAAGUCUGUACAAAGAGAUAUUUGAAUUUUAGUGAUAAGAGGUCAGAAUAGUCAACCAGUGAAACAGGGGAGACUUCAACUAAUAAACUGUACUAAUUGGAUGAACCAAAAAUUCUGAAAAAAUCAUGGUGAAUAGAUAUAUGAGUCUAGUUUCAGAGAAAAUUUACGGGUCUAUAUUUAGAGUUUUGUAACUUGAGUUAUAAUUAUUUUAGUGACUGCUGCGCAGGUGGACAGCUUUAUUGUGAAUAGUGAAAUUAAUUUUGAAAGUAAACUUUUAUGCCCCGAACUUUUAAGUUAAGUCAAGUAACGCCUCAUGCUCGACUCCGGCAACGGUCUCGGGUAAGGGGUGUUACAUACUUAUAACUUUUCAUUUGCAGCUAUUGAAACAUUAUAUAUAUUCGGAAAUAUUCCAACAAUCUCUCCCUCCCAAUUUCAAAAUAUUCUAGAUUUUGAUAAUCUUUGAAAGCAAUUGCAUAAAUGAAUGAAUCUUGCAAUUGAACCUUCACUCACUCAAAACAAGUUAAAAUUAAUUGAAAUUGCAUGGUAGGCUAAUCUUUGACCCAACUAUUCCAUUUAAUUAACCAAACACAUCUCACAAAAUGAUUUCGACACCAUUCAAUGCAUAAUAUCUAGGGACACUAUUAUAGUCACGUGCCUAUAACCUCUUUUCAUGAGUGUUGUUAGAGCUAAGCCUUUGAGCUCCUAAAACGGUCACACUUCCACUCACAGAGGUAGAUUCCACCAAGAGUGUUCCCGUAAUUAUAACAUUCUAACACAUUUAUGUUAUGAGACUAUUAAGAGUAUAUUACUCAUUCUUCCAUGUUAAUAAUAUAUACCACAUAAUAAACUUUAUAUUUAUUUGUUUCUUGAAGUUACAAUACUAACACUCUCACCAUAUUCAAUUACCCAUUCUUUCGCAAAAGAAUGUCAUUAAGGAUAUCCUUUGUACAAUUAUCAAUUUACCAUUAUCACUUAUCAGGAUGGCUUCACAUUUUGUUUAUUUAUUUCUUUUCCACCAAGUAAGUUUCAUAACUUAUUUUCAUAGUAAUAUAAGACCUUAAAACUCAUUGUGUAUAAACACUCUACUAGCAUGGCUUCUUUUUUCAACAAACCAUAUACAAACAGGGGUGUUUCAUGUUUUUAGAACAUAGACAUAUUUAAGGACAACAACUAGCCUAUCAUUUAAUUAUAAUAUCACACAUUUAUACAGCCUUUAUCAUGGACAUUAUUAGUCAUUUUGUGACUAUAAUAAAAACCAUGCCCAUCACCUAAAUGAGAUAAAUAGCUUUAUGUUGUUAUUUUAAUGCAAUUGAGAUAUUUGAUUCAUAAUUUCCAAAAUAUAUUUGAAAACUUACUGUAUUUAAAAACUUUAUAGAUUUAUGAGAUUAUAAAUCAUAUUUCAAGCCAUAUAUUAAAAAUUAUGUGCACCAUCAUAAACAUGCACAAUUUGAUCUCGAUAACUUCCCACUUGGUUCUCUUUGUAUUUUACUUGGGAACUUAUAAUAUGUUACGAUAGAAAAUCCUAAUAGUUAUUAGGCCCGGCCCUAAUAGCUAUAGAGUGUAAUAUUUGAUUAUUUUAAUAAAUAUGGAUAAUUUCCUAAAUUAAUCUUAUAUUACAUAAUGUUAUUAAUGUUAUUUUUUUUACAUCAAAAUAACAAUCUUAAAAUGCUACUAAAUCAUUACAGAUUGUUUUUUAAUUUUUAUAUGAAAAUAAUAAAUAUGAUUUUGUAAAAUUAUAAUAACAUUCUAUGCUAAAUAUUUUCGUAUUAUAAUUAAUUUAAAAUUUAAAUUAUAUACAUAUGUAUGAAAAUACAAACUAGGUAUAUAUAAAUUGUGAUUCCUUAAUGAAAAAAAGGUUUUAACAAAUAAAAUUGUCAUACCUGUUUAUAAACGAGCAUCUGAUUGUGUAUAUAUAUAUAUAUUCUCAUUCCUUAAAAAAAGUUUAAACAAAUAAAAUUGUCAUAUCUGUCAUCUCAAUUAGUUGUAAUAAUUAAACUAGACCAUUCCUCUUUGGACUAACCACUAUCUCUAAUUAUUGGUCUCCCGUCUCCUCUAUAUCUUUGAUUUUCAUGGCUCAUCCUCUAUUACCCACCACAAUAUUUAUAGUAAAAUUAUUUAAAAUUUGCCUUUUUAAAAAAAAUAUGUAAUAUUUAAAAUUAAAGAUAAAAAUGUAAAAUAUAAUUUAUAAUUUAUAAUUUAUGUUUAUCAAAUAAUAUAAUUCCAUUUAAAUUUACAUCAAACAAAUAUUAUAAUUCAAAUUCAACAUUUAAAAUUUCAAUUUAUUAAAUAAGAUUUUAAUGUACUAUUAAUUUGCGAUAUAUGUUGAGAUCCUCAAUUAAACAUAAACAUAAAAUUUUCUUAAACCCUAACUUUCUAAAACAUGUUCAAUAUGUGUAUCAUCUUAUUUAAUAUUAAGUUGUAAUGCAACGAAUUAAACAUUUUAAAGAAUAUAUUUUAUAUAUCAAAGAGUUUAUAGUUUUAAAAAAAUAAAAAAGAAGAAGUUAGGUUUGAAAUUAAAGUAAAUUACUAGUAAGGUGAACAGAAAGAAUUACUAGUAAAUUACUAGUAAGAUGGUGACCAAAGUAGUGAGUCAUGGACUAGAAUUGUAUGGAGAAGCAACGAUAAGAGCCAAAAGUCAAAAGUCAAGCAGGCUAGGCUAAACAAUGUUUGCCAACCCAAGCGCCCAGAUUAGCUAAGAUUUUCUCCUGUUGACUAUAAUUAACUAAGAUCCAAUCCCAAUCCCAAUUUCAUUUGAACUGAUAGGACACGCAUAAGACGACAAUUCAAACAGCACUAAGUUGAAGUAACCCUUUGGGUACUUGGCAAUUAAGCAUAUGCUCUUUUUUAACAGCCUCAAAAGCUAGAAAGCUAAAAUCUAAUGUUUAAUUAUUGGAAUUUGUUUCUGUUUUCCCCAAAAUAACCAUUUUCUUUUGUAUUCUUCAAAGGCUACUUUCGUCAUUUGAGGAUACGUCUUAGAAUUUCGAAACGGGGAAAAAAAAUCUUAGCUGUUUGAGUUGAGGUUACGAUACUGUCCGAAACAACGAAAAAUAUGUCUGAUCCGAAAAUUGCCCUUGUAAUAGACUAGAAAUUUCCAAUUCAGUCAAUCCUCUCUCUCCCUAGUUCUUAGCUUUUAUUUGUGGGAGGCUUUGUUUGUAAUUUUGUUCAAUUCCAAGGCCAUUUCAAAUUUCUGGCUGUUUCCCUCGUCACACUCAAACCCGCCAGUCUCACUGUGGACACUCUCUCAGCUGGAACCGCCACUUUCUCUGCAAGGGACUAACCUUUAGACCCUGAAAACCCGGUUUUAGCGAGAGAAGCAGAAGGGGUUGUAGAGAGAGAGAGAGAAAGAAAGAAGGAAACGAGAAAUAUCGUGAAAUUCAAAGGGAAGGGAUGGCGAUCCCCGAAGUAAACCGCCAACAAGCCAGAGGGAGACCUACGGCGUCUUCAACACGACCGCCGGUUCGAGCUAGAAUUCGGCUCCGGCAGCUGCUUCGAGUCACUUCCGUGGCAUGCGGGAUACAGUUCGGAUGGGCUUUACAGCUCUCGCUUUUGACACCUUACGUUCAAGAGCUAGGUAUACCUCACCAGUGGGCCAGCAUCAUAUGGCUUUGCGGGCCGCUUUCGGGCCUCCUCGUACAACCUCUGGUGGGACACAUGAGCGACCGAUGCACCAGCCGCUUGGGUCGUCGCCGACCUUUUAUCGUGGCUGGUGCAGUUUCGAUUAUCGUUGCCGUUUUGAUCAUCGGUCACUCCGCCGAUAUCGGAUGGUUGUUCGGCGAUACAGAGGCGUCCCGGCCGAGAGCUAUCGUGGCGUUUGUUUUCGGGUUUUGGAUUCUUGAUGUUGCUAAUAACGUGACUCAAGGUCCUUGUAGAGCUCUACUUGCUGAUCUUACUGGUUAGUAUCUGUUCCUUCAUUUAUGGAGUUUGAUCGGAUUAACUAUUAUAUCAUAUGUUAGUUUUCCUUCAAGAAUGAAUAAACUUCUGAAAUUGUUGGGCAUUUAUAUGUUAUAAAACCAUAUAUGCUAAUCAGAUGGUUUCAACCCCCUCAUAUACAUAUAUAUGUAUUUGAAUAAGUAGUUGAAUUUUAUUAUCCAAGAAAGCAGCAUAGCUGCUACAGAAUUACAACUCAUGAUCUUUGUUGUACAAUUAAUCAAACAUCUCAAAGUUUAGCUUCCAGUGCGUAUACUGUGUCAAAUCCAUAGUACCCAAUCUAAUUUUUUUUGGUUGUACAGUUGCAUAGCUACCACUCCUCUAAUUUGCUCUAGCAAGUUGUCUUCAGUCCUCUCAUUAUGUGUAUGGAUUCUACCAUUCCUUCUUGACAAAAUAAAUCAUGGUAGUCCAAGCUACGCAUAUGAUGGUUUUUGCCAAGCUCUUGCUUUUGAUUUUCAUACCGAUCCAUCACAAUUCUUCCUCCCAGCUUCUUGCUUGUUGUUGCCGUAUCUUCUUUGUAAAGUUACAUUUUGAAAACAAGUGUUCUCUAGUCUCUCUUUCACGCUUGCAGAGGGAGUAACCCUUGUCAAGUGUCAUCUCCUAGGCAAUGAGUAAGUCCGUGGUUGGAAGUCUGUUCAAAACUACCAUCCAAGCAAUCAGUGAGUGAGUGGUUGGAAUGAAGAGCCUUGGACCGUAAUUCUUUGUGCCAAGUUACAUUUCCCCUCAAUGCCUUAUUGCAUUCCAAACACCUGGUAGUUGAAAUUUAUUACCUUUAAAAGGCCAACUACAUCUUCCACCAUCUCCUUCAGUUACCGCUUGCAAAACAGUUUGCCUCAUUUGUAAAAGUUCUCUCUAGUUCCAACUGCAACUUAUUUGGGAGGAAAAUUCUUAGAUUUCCUUCCCUUUAAGAAUAUAUAUAUUUUUGCCCAAGCUAUCCAAAGAGAACCCACUUUUGUCAAUACAGUCCAGAAAUUUCUGGGAAAGCAUGUCUGGUUCCAUGUUUUCUUUUAUGCCUAGGGCUUCUAGUUUUGGCAAAAAAAUAUGGCUCUAGUAGCAAUCCUCUCCUUGUCCUUUCAUAAGAAGCUUGAACAUGGUAGUGAGAGUCUGUGAAUGCGUGCUUUGGGAGCAUGAAAUGUCUACACCAUUAGUUCUGAAUAUGGAAGAUUGAUUGUAUCAGUUUGACAAAUAUAUGAUAAAUGUUUUAAAGACCAUCCUGCAAUCUUGGCCCCUAUUGUCUCAGUAAGUAGUUUACAAUCCCUCUUGGAUAGCCUUCUAGUGACCAGAGGCAUUCUAAGGUACCUAACUAGAAGUUUACCAAGCUUAAACCUUGAUGCUUCAUGGAUAGCCAUAAGCUUUUCUUUACUCCAAUGGAGUAAAGUUCAUACUUUGCAUUAUUAGUCUGAAGCCCAGAGAAUAGAUAGAACAUUCCAAUACCAUCUUGAUUCCUUGAACAAAGUCAAGAUGAGCAAGUCAUCCAUGAUGCUAUGAUGGGUUAUGCGAAGCUUGUUGCCUUUUUUAUGUUAAGCAAAAAUUCCAACCUUUGCUGCACUGUCCAAAAGUCUUGAUAAAAUAUAAUUGUCAAUAUAGAGAGGUAUAGGAGAGGGGGUCACCCUCACCCCUUUUGCUCCCUUAAAAAAACCUUAAAGCCCCCCAUUAAUAGAGAUUGAAAAUCUUAAUGCUGUUCUUUUGUUGUUAUUAUUGUUUGCAAAAGCUCAAUAGUUAAGCUUUAUGGACAGGCAACAAGGUUAGGAUCAUUGGUGCCAAGUUGACUUUGAAAUGAAGAUGUAAACUUCUGUUGAAAUUUGGGGGAACAAAUCCAACCUGUUCCUGUUUUCUUCAAGCAAUAUCUUUAUUGAAUUCUUGCAUUGAUGACUCUUCACUAUCAUAUAAAAGUAAGCUAUAUGGAGAUCUUGUUCCCAUAACCAUUGUACUCGUGACUGUUGUCUAUACAACACUCACUUUUCAUUUUGUUCUCGUAGCUCUAAGUUUAAGGAAGCUUGUUUUGGAACCAUUCCUCAAAACUAAGAUCUGAAUAGCUUUUAACUCCCUAUUUGUGGCUUUUACCUUGUUAGAUAUGCUCCCAUAAUUACUUCUGUUGAACUGCCUCAAAAUGGACUUUGUAAUGGAAGUAGAAAUCGAGAAAAAGUAAACAAAAAUUUAUGAGAAGAGAAAACUUGUGUUUAUUCACAUCAUAUAGUAUCCUAUUUAUAUUAGUUAUAAGAGUAAAGGAAAGAAAUUAAAGUAAAUAAAAUUCCUUACUUUUUCAAUAUUCUGCUUUUGUGCUCGAUCUUGCUACAAUAUCCUUUUUUCCUCUUUAUGAUAUUAGAUUCCUUCAAAUAAAGACACAAUAUCUUGAAGUGAACUACCUAUUUGAGGGAGAUCUUACCCAAUUGGCAUAUGAGUAUCCACCAACUUGUGUAUCACUUUAUAUUCAUAAAAUAAACCUUGCCCUGGGGCACCUUUGGCAUAUUUAAGGAUGCGUAUUAUUGCAUUUCAAUUGGAGGAAUUGACUAACCACACUUAUUGUAAAGGGAAUAUAUGAAAAUGUGAUAAUGAGAUAAUUAAGUUUCCCAACUUAUCUUUGAUAUUGACUAGGAUCCUUUAGUGGCUCGCCUGUCGUGAAACAAGCUUGGCAUCAGGAUCAGUAGGUUUACAAUCCAACAUUCUUGUUUCUUUCAGAAUAUCCAAUGCAUGCUUCCUCUAAGAUGUAACAAUGCUUUUGUUUGAUUGCGCUACCUGAAUGCCCAUAAUAUAUUUAAACUUCCCCAAGUCUUUAGUUUGAAAAUGGUUGAAGAGAUGUUGCUUGAGUUGAAUAAUUCUUUAAUGAUCAUCAUCUAUAAUAACAAUAUCAUCCACAUCUACCACCAGAUUGGUAUGAUGGUAAAAGACCGAGUUAUCUUCUUCACUCAUUCUCAUCCCAAAUUAUUGGAUAACAUGCUAAAUGGACUAAGGGUUAUGAGAAGAAUGAAUACCUUGCUAUGGGUUGAAUAGGGUCUUCUGCU